rnacentral:lncRNA from 1 species
ACAAACGACAUCAGACCAGAUGGUGUUCUUGUAACUAGAUAAAGAGACAUGAAAUUAUGUGGCUAGCACAUGGUACAGGGCGGGAGCUUAUCAUAACUAGUUACUAAUUAUACUCCUAGAGAUCUCACUUUGAUAAACGAUUGCCAAUAAAUUACUGCCUAGACAUAUAGUUCCUGCUUGCAUUCAAUAUAAGCUAAGUUGUUGCAAUGUAACCCUAACACAUACCAAUAGAAACUGUUUGAAUCACCAAUGCCUGGACCUGUUAUUCAGUCUCUCAUUACUGGCUCUCUUCUUCAUUGUCAUCGUCCUCUUCCUCCUCCUCCUCAUCGCUCUGCUCACCGUCGCUGGCAGCUGCAGAGUCUGCCAUAUUGUUCUCAUGGUACUGAUAAUGCGGGCGGAGGGCAGGGCGGUGAUGGUGUCUGCUACCGUCGCUGGCACGGUACCGGUCAUGGUGAUUGCUGCUCGUCCGGGCAUCAGGAAACGGUGCCAUUCUUCUCGAUGUGGAAUCUGGUACGGACGCCAUCCUCCUAGAUGAGCCACCAACAGUGGCGGCACCUACCUGGGAGUGGGAGGCAGCCGCAGCGGGAGAGAUGUGGCUCUUGCCCUGUGAGAGCUCCUUCUGCGUAUUGAGGAAGAACUGCACGCGUUGCGACUCAAGCUCCCGUGCGAAGUCCAGACGCUGGCGCUCCAUCUCGGCGGCCUGCUCCAGCUUCGCUGUCUCCACGCGCUCGUAGGCCUCACCAAGGCGCCGUAUCGCCUGCGCUAGCUCUCGCAUGCCCUGAGAACGGUCGCCGCCGCUGAAGCCAUCCACGCGCCCCUCGUCCGUCCUCCUCCUCUUGCCAUUCGCCGCCUGAAGCGCAGGCUCCGGCGGGAACCCGUCGGACGACUCAGACGAAGCCGACAGCUCCGGAGACGGCGCCCUCCGCUUGACGGGCGCCGAGGCCGGCAUCAGCGGCGUGCGGCUGCGCUGGGGGAAGCCCGCGCGCAGCGCUGUGGGCACCGCGUUCCGUCCAUUAGGGUGGGCGGCCGGCUUCUGGUUGUAGGUGGGCGCGAGGAGCACGUCGAGGCGGUCGUAGAACUGCCACGACGAGACCGGCUUGGCCCUCUCGAUCUUGUACUUCUUCUUGAGCGUGUCGAUGCGGUUCUUGCACUGCACGUCGGACUUGGGGGCCUUGGAGUAGUUGUCCCGGGAGGAGACGGCUUCGGCGACCUCCUGCCACUGGGGGUGGCGGAGGCUGCCGCGGCCGAGCGCGACGAAGCGCUCCCCCCAGGCGUCGAUGAGCGCGGAGGUGGCGCCCUCGCUCCAGGCAUCCUCCCUGCCCCCGCCCCCGCCGCCGCCGCCGCCGCUGCCGCCGUGGCUGGGGUAGGACCCGUGCUUCUGGAUCGGGAGCGCGAGCGUCAGGGGCCCGCCGGGCGGCGCGGAGGCGACGGUGACGGGAUCGGCGACGGGGAGCGCGGAGGCGACGGGAAGCGGCGAGGAGGAGGCCGGCGAGAGGGAGGGCGAAGGGGAGUUGUCGUCGUCGUCCAUGGCGGCGGAUCGGGGAGGGAUUGGGGAUCUAGGUUGGAACCGAUCUGGGGUUGUAGGUCAGGGGUCGGUGGUGGUGCGGCGGUGCCGGCGGUGUGGGGCUGUCGUGCUUUGAGGGGGUCCGUCCGGUUGGGACUCGGCGCGGCGGGUUGACUUGGGCCAGGCCGGGGGCGAUGGGCUCAGGCUGGCGCCGGGGUGGGUUAGGUCGGGUCGGAGAAAACGGCCGGCGGUGGGGGGUAUUUUGGGCUUCCUGCAGCCUGACGCGUCGGCCGGCAGGCAGGAAGACCGGUCGCCACGUUCCACUUCCACCCAUUGUUCCUCGGAGUCGGAAGAGUCUCCUGUCCUGUCCAGCCGGAAAACAAGCCAACACCACUUUUGAUGCACUAGCAGGGUGUAGGAGCGUGAGGCGACGACGAGUUCUCGUCGUCGUCUUUUCGAUUGCUCGCUCCGGUUUAAAGGUCCUGUCUUAUUUUUUAUUUUAUCUUUCAUUUUACUAGUCUAAGUAGUCUUAUUUCUAUUGCUCUUUAUCAUAUGUUUAGAUAUUGAGAUGCAUUAAAUCGUUGCAUACAAGAAUUAAGAGAAAAUUCAUCAAUGCAUCUAAAAGUCCUUGGUCAUUUAGUGAUCAUGUAUGCAUGCGCUGUAAUUAAUGCAUCGGUAAACAUGAUUUUAUUAUAAAAUAGCGAGCUCCACACACUUUGUUACAGAAUUAGGAAGGUGUUGGUUAAACCGGUCAUAAUGAAAGUAUCAUACAUGUCAAUUAGAUAUUUUUUUUAUCAUAAUUUAAUGAAAAAAGAGAAGAUUGAGUAUCAUAAUAUGACCAUGCAUGACAAUAAAUGAGAUCACUAUGAUAAUAUGCACUGUAAAGGUGGUAUCAUACACUAGUAUCAUGUGCAUAAUAGUAGUACACGACACUUCCUAUUGCUAGCAGUCUUAGAGAAUCUACAACUAGAGUGAUCAAAUAUGAUCUCCUAGAUGUCCGCGGACGCAUCCGGGUGGCUUGCCCCUUAAAUGUUUGUCUUUGCAAUCAUAACUCUUACUUUUGAAAUACCGAUUCAUGCAAAUAUGUACAUGUCGAUCGUUUGGUGAUACAAAUACACACACCAAUAAAUAUUACACACAAUAAAAUUUAUCAGUACAUAAAAAUACAUAGUUCAAAUAUAAAAUUUAUUUGGCGUGCAUAAUUCAAACCUAAAAUUCAUUGAUUUUCAGUGUGGGUUCAUAUAUGCUUCAUAAGAUUAUUAUUGAUCUCGAAGUUGUCGAUCUCUAAAAAGUUCACGACAUACUUCACAUCUUGUUUCGGGAGGCGGACAUGUACCCCGGGCCUCUCAAAAUCAUGUAUGUGGACUGCCCCUCUGUUCUCAUCCAUCACAAUCAUAUUGUGUAAGAUUACACAACAUGUCAUCAACUACCAUAUGUCUAUGGUUCCUAUAUCAUUGUAGAUCCACGAACAAUACUCCGAAUACACUCUACACAUCAUUUAUUGCACCUUCUUGCAUUUCUGCAAAGAGACAUUGUCUUCUACCUCGAGGAUCGGAUAUAGUCUCACAAUCGCUGCCCACCGAGCAUAAAUACCAUCAGAAAGGUAGUACCCCAUUUUAUAGUUGGGCUCGUUUGACGGUGUACUUGCAUGCUCAAGCAUCCCCAUCACAAAGUUCUUGAACAACGGAGGUCUUUGGAGCACACUGAUAUCAUAUUGAGAACUAGUCAUGCCAAAAAAAGCAUGUUAAAUCCACAUGUCCUUUGAUUCCACUACUUGAUGGUGGCCUCUUUGGUGUGAUCUUGGUACUACUGUCUAAGUAAACCUUUAUUUAUGGUGUUGUCCUACGGUGCCCUCCGUCUCACGCAAACGUGAGGGGUCCCCGCUGUAGGGUGUUGCAAUACGUUCAUAAUUUGCUUAUUGUCGGUUGCCAGAGUGACAGAAGCCUGAACACAGAUAAAUUGGUUAUUGCGUAUGGGAGUAAAGAGGACUUAAUACUUAAUGCUAUGGUUGGGUUUCACGACCUUAAUGAUCUUGGUAGUUGCGGAUGCUUGCUAGAGUUCCAAUCAUAAGUGCAUAUGAUCCAACUAGAGAAAGUAUAUUAGCUCAUGCCUCUUCCUCAUAUAAAAUUGCAUGAAUGAUUACCGGUCUAGUUAUCAAUUGCCUAGGGACAAAUGACUUUCUUGUUGACAAAAGCUAUCUAGUUUUAUUACCUUGCAAUUUAUUCAUAGUUUUAUUCUCACAAAGUACAUGUAGUUUUAUUCUUGCAAAAUAGUUUCAUACUUGUUUUAGGUAAAGCAAACAUUAAGUGUGCGUAGAGUUGUAUCGGUGGUCGAUAGAACUUGAGGGAAAUUUGUUCUAUCUUUAGCUCCUCGUUGGGUUUGACACUCUUAUUUAUCAAAGAAGGCUACAAACGAUCCCCUAUACUUGUGGGUUAUCAAGACCUUUUCUGGAGCCGUUCCGGGGAGCAAUAGUGUGAGGUGAAUAUUCUUGUGUGUGCUUGUUCGCUUUAUCACUAAGUAGUCUUUAUUUUCUGUUCUAAGUUGUUCUCUAUCUUUAGUUAUGGAUAUGAAACACGAAACACCAAAAAAAAAGUUGUACUUGCUACUCAUGGAGAUGGGGAACCUCAAAACCCUCGAUGCUCGUUAUGUGAAAAUAUUAAACACUACUUUGAUAAACCUUAGAAAACCCCAUUCAACUUGAUAAUGGGAGUAACAUUGGAUCAACGUGAAUACUUUAGAGAUUAUCGCUUGACUCAAAAAGGAAAGCUUUUAUGGGAUCAAAUUGAAAUGUUGCAAUGGUAUGCUUGGAAUUUAUGCUUCAGAUAUGAUUAUACUUGUUGCUCUAGGAUGAAGACUCGACACCUUCCCUUUUCAUGUGAAUUUAGUGAUAAUGAAACAUUGGCUUCUUAUGCUAACGGUAGAUAUGAUUACUAUGAUGUGGAACAAAUAGAAGAAUUUGUUGCUUUUAAGGGUGCUUAUGAAAUUGAAUCUCUGUUUGAAAAGUAUGAAGAUUAUGAUGAUUCUAUUUAUAGACAUGAAAAUUUUGCCAUCCUUAUAUAUUGCUAUGAUAAUUAUAAAUACAAUGUCGAUGCUGAUGCGUUUGUUGAGAAAGUCUCCGCUAUCCAAGAAGAGACUAAUAUUUUACAGGAAACUAUAUAUGGAAGAAGAAACUGAUGAAACCGUGAGCUCAUUGGAUGAAAAAGAUGAUGUGGAGAGUGAAGAACAAAAGGAGGAAGAGCGGAUUAGCUACCCAUGCUCACCUUUUAAUGAGAGUAACUCUUCAACUCAUACAUUGUUUAAUGUCCCGUCGUUCUUACCGAAGGAUGAUUGCUAUGAUAAUUGCUAUGAUCCCGUUGAUUCAUUUGAAAUAUCCCUUUUUGAUGAACUUGAUGAUUACUAAGCUUGUGGCCAAGAUGACAAUUUGAAUUAUGCUUAUGGAGAUGAACUUGCUAUAGUUUCUUAUGUUAAAAAUGAAAUUGUUUCUAUCACACCCACACAUGAUAGUCCUAUUAUCUUUUUGAAUUCUCCCAACUACACUAUAUCGGAGAAGUCUGCUUUUAUUAAGGAUUACAUUGAUGGGUUGCCUUUUACCAUUGAACAUGAUGAUUUUGAUGAAUAUAAUAUGCAUGUGUUUUCUGCACCUACUUGUAAUUAUUAUGAGAGAGGAACUACAUCUCCGCCUCUCUAGCUUUCUAACAUUAUAAAAUUGCAAGAAACUUCUUAUGCUAUGUAUUGGCCUUUACUUGAUGUGCAUGAAUUGUUCUUGUAUGACAUGCCAAUGCAUGGGAAGAGAGUUAGACUUCGUUAUUACAUGAUAUAUGUUGCUUUGUGCUCACUACUAAAUGCCAAAUCAUUGUUAAUUAAAAUUGACUUUGAUAUACCUUGGGAUCCGGGUGGAUUCAUUACUUGGCACUUUAUGCCUAGCUUAAUGGCUUUAAAGUAAUCGCUGCCAGGGAGACAACCCGGAAGUUUUAGAGAGUCAAUUUAUUCUAUUGAGUUCUUUUAUAAAGUUUUAAAACAAAAAAAUAUAGAGGGGAACCUAAAAACUUUUUUUUCAAAAGAGAAGUGAUUUGAAGUUAUGCAUUGCAAAAGUGAGGGUCGACCUUGAACACUUGUGUUCAUGCUCAUGGAAACAAUGUAGAAUUUUUCAUGAAGAUUCUCAAAAAAAAUAGUUACCCCUUGUAUGAAGCAUUGUAUUAUAAAAAUAAUGUGUCAAGAUUUGCCUUUAGGACGAUUAGAUUGCUUGCUGGUAUGUGUAGUGCAAAAACAGAAACUUUGGUUGUAGUGCGUGAUUUUACGUUUUUUAUUGGAACGCCAAAAGUUUUUGAAGCUUCUUGCACAGUAUUGCUAUACAAAAGUUUUAUUUUGUCCUAAUUUUUUGAGAAUUUUUGGAAUUACAGAAGUAUGGUGAAUGUUCAGAUUACUACAUAUUGUCCUAUUUUUGAUAGAUUCUGUUUUUGAUGCAUUGUUUUGCUCAUUUUGAUGAAACUAUCGAUUGUAUCAGUGGUAUAAGCCAAGGAAAAGUUAUAUUACAGUAGCUACAAUGCAAAAUCAAAAUGUGAAUUGGUUUGUAAUAGUACUUAAAGUAGUGAUUUGCAUUAUUAUACUAACAGAUCUCAAGAGGUUUCUGUUGAGUUUUGUGUGGAUGAAGUGAUCAAAGAUCGAGGAGGUCUCGAUACGAGAAGAAUGAGGAGAGGCAAGAGCUCAAGCUUGGGGAUGCCCAAGGCACCCCAAGUAAAUAUUCAAAGAGACUCAAGUGUCUAAGCUUGGGGAUGCCCCGAAAGGCAUCCACUCUUUCUUCAACAAGUAUCGGUAUGUUUUCGUUUUCAUUUCGUUCAUGUGAUAUGUGUAAAUCUUGGAGCGUCUUUUGUGUUUAGUGUCAUUUUUCUUUUAUGCACCAUGCUGGUAUGAUAUAGUCCAUGGUUGGUUUAUAGAAUUCUCACUGCACUUCACUUAUAUAUUUUGAGUAUGGCUUUAUAGAAUGCUUCAUGUGCUUCACUUAUAUCAUUUGAAGUUUGGAUUGCUUGUUUCUCUUCACAUAGAAAACCGUUGUUUGAAUAAUGCUCUUUUGCUUCACUUAUAUUUAUUAGAGCAUGGUAUUUUUUAGAAAGAAUUAAACUUUCUUGCUUCACUUAUAUCAAUUUAUAUAGUCAAUAAGAAUUGGUCAAUUGCAUGGUUAGUCAUGAAAUCCUACAUAAAACUUAUGGAUCAUUGAAUAUGAUAUGUUUGUUUCCUUGCAAUAGUUUUGCGAUAUAGAGAUGGUAAUAUGUGGGAAGUACUAGUAAAUGGUUGUGGUUAGUAAGAAUAUUGUUGUUAAGGUUUGUGAUUCCCAAAGCAUACACGUAUAGUCUCUCGUUAUGCUAUGAAGUUGGAGCAUGAUGUAUUAUUGAUUGUCUUCCUUAUGAGUGGCGGUCGGGGACGAGCGAUGGUCUUUUCCCACCAAUCUAUCCCCGUAGGGGCAUGCGUAGUAGUACUUUGCUUCGAGGGCUAAUAAACUUUUGCAAUAAGUAUAUGAGUUCUUUACGACUAAUGUGAGUCCAUGGAAUAUAUGCACUCUUACCUUUUCGCAAUUUGCUAGCCUAUACGGUAUCGUGCAUUGCCCUUUCUCACCUCGAGAUGUGGUGCAAACUUCGCCGAUGCAUCCAAACCUCGUAAUAUGAUACACACACAUAAGCCUUAUUAUAUAUUCCUCAAAACAACCACCAUACCUACCUAUUAUGGCCUUUCCAUAGCCAUUCCGAGAUAUAUUGCCACGCAAGUUCCACCACUUCGGUUUUGAUGACUUGAGCAUUCAUUGUCAUAUUGCUUUGCACGAUCGUAAGAUAGCUAGCAUGAUAUUUCCAUGGCUUGUCCAUUUUUUGAUAUCGUUGUUAUGCUAGAUUAUUGCACAUCCUGGUACACUACCAGAGGCACUCAUAUAGAGUCAUAUUUUGUGAUAGGCAUUGAGUUGUAAUAUUGAGUUAUAGCUAAAUAUAUGUGUGAUGAUCAUCAAUUUUCAUUAUUAGAACAUUGCCCUAGUAAGGAAUGGAUGAUGGAGACUAUGAUCCCCCACAAGUCGGGACGAGACUCCCGACCAAAGGAAAAAAUGGAAGAGAACAAAAUGAAAGAAAUAAGGAAGAGAAGGGGCAUGCUAGUUCCACACUUGUGCUUCAAAGUAGCACCAUGUUUUUCAUACAGAGAGUCUCUUAUGUUGUCACUUUCAUAUACUAGUGGGAAUUUUUCAUUGUAGAGUUAGAUGCACACCCACUUAGUUUUCAUAUUGAGCUUUCAUACACUUAUAGAUCUUAGUGCAUUCGUUACAUGGCAGUCCCUACUCCUCACAUUGAUAUCAAUUGAUGGGCAUCUCCAUAGCCCGUUGGUUAGCCGCGUCAAUGUGAGACAUUCUUACUUUUUGCCUUCUCUAUAUUUACCCCUAUCAUCAUACUCUAUUCCACCCAUAGUGCUAUAUCCAUGGCUUGUGCUCAUGUAUUGCAUGAGAGUUGAAAAAGCUGAAGCGCAUUAAGAAGUAUGAACCAAUUUCUCUGCUUGUCAUCGGGGUUGUGCAUGAUAAAUACUUUGUGUUAAGAAGACAGAGCAUGGCAAGACUAUAUGAUUUUGUAGGGACAACUCUUUUUAGCGUUGAUAUCUUGAAAGACAUGAUUGUUUGUUUGGAUGCCUGAGUAUUGAUGUCUUUAUGUCAAAUUAUAGACUAUUGCUUUGAAUCACUCGUGUCUUAAUAUUCAUGCCAUGAUUAGAUAUAUGAUCAAGAUUAUGCUAGGUAGCAUUCCACAUCAAAAAUUAUCCUUUUUAUCAUUUACCUACACGAGGAUGAGCAGGAAUUAAGCUUGGGGAUACUGAUACAUCUCCGUCGUAUCUAUAUUUUUUGAUUGUUUCAUGCCAAUAUUAUACAGCUUUCACACACUUUUGGCAACAUUUUAUAUGAUUUAUUAGACUAACAUAUUGAUCCAGUGCCCAGUGCCAGUUCUUGUUUUUUCGCAUGUUUUUUGUUUCGCAAAAUAUCUAUAUCAAACAAAGUAAAAUGAAAUAAAAUUUUAUGGAGAAUUAUUUUAGAAUAUUUGUGAUUUUGGGAGGCGGAAUCAACGCUAAGGAGUCCCACAGCCCCCACAAUACACCAGGGCGCGCCCUAGGGGCCAGGCGUGUGGUGGUGGGUUUUGCUCACCUUGUACGUUGGUUGGAGAUCUACUUCGGGGCGCAAGGAAGCUUAUAUCCGGAAAAAAAUCAUGUUAAAAUCUCAAUGCAAUCGAAGUUAUAGAUCUCCGGGAAUAUAAGAAACGGUUUUUGGCCAGAUCUGGGAAAUGCGAAAUAGAAGAGAACAUAGAGGGAGAUCCAAUCUCAGAGGGGCUCCCGCCCCUCUGCCGCCAUGGAGGCCAUGGAACAGAGGGGGAACUCUCCUCCCAUCUAGGGGGAGGCCAAGGAAGAAGAAGAAGGAGGGGGCUCUCCCCCCCUCUCUCCUGGUGGCGCCGAAGUGCCGCCAAGGCUAGGACCUGAAGGAAAUAUGCCCUAGAGGCAAUAAUAAAGUUGUUAUUUAUAUUUCCUUAUAUCAUGAUAAAUGUUUAUUAUUCAUGCUAGAAUUUUAUUAAUUGAAAACUUAGUACAUGUGUGAAUACAUAGACAAAACAUAGUGUCCCUAGUAUGCCUCUACUAGACUAGCUCGUUAAUCAAAGAUGGUUAUGUUUCCUAAGCAUAGACAUGUGUUGUCAUUUGAUGAACGGGAUCACAUCAUUAGGAGAAUGAUGUGAUGGACAAGACCCAUCCGUUAGCUUAGCAUUAUGGUCGUUACAGUUUCAUUGCUACUGCUUUCUUCAUGACUUACAUGUUCCUCAGACUAUGAGAUUAUGCAACUCCCGAAUACCGGAGGAACACCUUGUGUGGUAUCAAACGUCACAACGUAACUGGGUGAUUAUAAAUAUUCUCUACAGGUAUCUCCAAGGUGUUUGUUGGGUUGGCGUAGAUCGAGAAUAGGAUUUGUCACUCAAUGUAUUGGAGAGGUAUCUCUGAGCCCUCUCGGUAAUGGUCAUCACUAUAAGCCUUGCAAGCAAUGUGACUAAUGAGGUAGUUUCGGGAUGAAGCAUUACAUAACGAGUAAAGAGACUUGCCGGUAACGAGAUUGAACUAGGUAUGAUGAUACCAAUGAUCGAAUCUCGGGCAAGUAACAUAGCGAUGACAAAAAGAACAACGUAUGUUCUUAUGCGAUUUGACCGAUAAAGAUCUUCCUAGAAUAUGUAGGAGCCAAUAUGAGCAUCCAGGUUCCGCUAUUGGUUAUUGAUUGGAGAUGUGUCUCGAUCAUGUCUACAUAGUUCUCGAACCCGUAGGGUCCGCACGCUUAACGUUCGAUGACGACUGUAUUAUGAGUUAUGUGUUUUUGAUGAUCGAAGUUUGUUUGGAGUCCCGGAUGAGAUCACGGACAUGAUGAGGAGUCUCAAAAUGGUCGAGACAUAAAGAUUGAUUCAUUGGAAGGCUAUGUUUGGACACCGGAAUGGUUUCGGAAGAGUUCGGGCAUUUUUCGGAGUACGGGGAGGUUACCGGAACCCCUCGGGGGAUUAAUGGGCCUUAUGGGCUUUAGCGGAAAAGGAGAGGAGGGCCGCAGGGUGGCCGCACGCCCCCCUUGGCUGGUAUAAAUUGGACAAGGAGGGGGCGGCUGAGGGAGUCCUGGAUUAGGGGGUCCUCGGACAGCCGGACUGUUGGACUAUGAAGAUACAAGACUGAAGACUUCGUCCCGUGUCCGGGUGGGACUCUCCUUUGCAUGGAAGGCAAGCUUGGCAAUCCAGAUAUGCAGAUCUCCUUCUCAGUAACUGACUCUGUGUAACCCUAUCCCCCUCCGGUGUCUAUAUAAACCAGAGGGUUUAGUCCUUAGGACAUCAACAAUCAUAAUCAUAGGCUAACUUCUAGGGUUUAGCCUCUACGAUCUCGUGGUAGAUCAACUCUUGUAAUACUCAUAUCACUAAGAUCAAUCAAGCAGGAAGUGGGGUAUUACCUCCAUCGAGAGGGCCCGAACCUGGGUAAACAUUGUGUCCCCCGCCUCCUGUUACCACUAGCCUUAGACGCACAGUUCGGGACCCCCUACCCGAGAUUCGUCGGUUUUGACACCGACAUUGGUGCUUUCACUGAGAGGUCCACUGUGCCAUCACAAUAAGGCUUGAUGGCUCCUUCAAUCAUCUGCAACGAUGCGAUCCAAGGUGAGGUUUUUUUCCCGGACAGAUCUUCGUAUUCGGCAGCUUCGUACUGCGGCCCAACUCGCUUGGCCAUCUAGAGCAGAUCGAUAGCUACGCCCCUGGCCAUCAGGUCAGGUUUGGAAGCUUGAACUACAUUGCCGACAUCCAGGGAGACUUAAUCUUCAACAGAUUCGAGCCCAUGACAGGUCCGCCGUACAGUCACGAUGAGCAUGACUAAGAUCUGCCAUCAGACGGUGUUCAGGAGAACACAUCUGCAGCUGCUCCGGCCUUAGAUUCGGAGCAGAACGUGCCAUUCGAGAUAGGUGGAUAGACCCCGCCAUGGAGGCCGCACACUCAUCGGUGUUAAAGCCGAACACAGACUUCACCUCCAAAGAUAUCUGGGUCAUCGGACCCUCGGACUCGUCUCCGGUCAUAGGCUCCGAACCACGUGCAUCCGUGCCUAUCGACUCCGAUUGGGCGACGAUCAUGGAGUUUACCUCUAUUGAUAUCUUUCAGCACUCACCCUUGGGUGAUGUGCUAAAUUUACUGAAAUCUCUCUCUCUGUCAGGAGACUCUUGGCCGAACUAUGUCCGGCUUGAGUGGGAAGCGGACAACGAAGAAAUUCGUUCCCCACCCACCACCCACUUAAUAGCCACCGUCGACGACUUAACUGACAUGCUUGAUUUCGACUCCGAAGACAUCGACGGUAUGGACGGCGAUGCCGGAGAGGAACAGGAACCACCGCCCUUAGGGAGCUGGACAGCCACCUCAUCAUACGAUAUAUAUACAUGGUGGACACACCCAAAGAAAACAACAGCGAGGGACUGGAGGAUGCAACAGAGGGUAACCCUCUAGAGAAGCAACCAAAGUGAUGACGUCGGCGCUGCUCUAAAUCCCGCCACAGUAGAAACAACGAUAACAGCGCAAGAAGAAAUAAUACCCCGGUCGACUCCAAAGGAAACGACGACCCCAUGGACCCAGCGACGGAGCAGGAGGAGCCAGGUGAAGGUAAACAUAGUCCGGGGCUGCUGUCCGAUCAUAGUGACGGCGGAGAUAAAACUCAUAAACCUCUCUCCAGAGAGGAGAACAGUCUGGGCGACGAUGCACUCAUCAUCCCUGAAAAACACUUGGAACAAGAGAACCUCCAUAGAAGGCUUAUUGCCACCGCGAGGAGCUUGAAGAAGCAGAAGCAAAGGCUUAAGGCCGCGUAGGAUACGCUCAACCGCAGAUGGAACAAAGUGCUCGACACUGAAGAAAAAUACGAUGGCGAUCGCCACACAAGGAGCUACCCAAAGCGCAAGCUGCUGCCCGAAUUCGACGACGAGGCUAUAGAGCUCAUUCAGCCAAAAAAUAAAAUGGCCGAUCAGCCAGACUGUCCACCCCAUGGCCGCGACAGGGCAACUAAUGACACCGCACAUAAGUCAACUAAUGAUUUACGUGAGCACCUGGACAAAAAAACCGGUAUGGCCAGGUCCAUUUAUGGGUCUAGGAAGCAUGCUCUGGCACAGGAUCAUGGCCGCCCAAAUGACUAUACUAACCGAAUAACAACUCGAAAUCAAAUCCGAACACUACAACCGUCAGAAGAAUGCCAUGACACAUCCAGAUACAGGGGUGCCGCACACCCCUGUGCUUCACCGAUUAGGUGCUGGAUCAUGAAUUUCCAGAGGGAUUCAAACCCGUGAACAUAGAGGCAUACGACGGAAUGACAGAUCCCGGGGUCUGGAUUGAGGACUUUAUCCUUCACAUCCACAUGGCUCGCGGAGAUGAUCUCCAUGCCAUCAAAUACCUGCCCCUCAAGUUGAAAGGACCAGCUCGGCACUGGUUGAAAAGCCUCCCCGAAAACUCAAUUGGAAGUUGGGAAGAACUUGAGGAUGCUUUUAGGGCUAAUUUUCAAGGGACCUAUGUCCGACCUCCGAAUGCAGACGAUUUAAGUCACAUUAUUCAACAACCCGGAGAGUCAGCCCGAAAGCUUUGGAACAAAUUUCUCACUAAGAAGAAUCAAAUCGUCGACUGCCUGGAUGCCGAAGCCUUAGUGGCUUUCAAGCAUAGUGUCCGGGACGAAUGGCUCACCAGACACCUCGGCCAGGAAAAGCCGAGGACAAUGGCAGCCCUAACAAGCCUUAUGACCCGCUUCUGCACGAGCGAGGACAGUUGGUUGGCCCAUAGUGGCACCAGCGACCCAGGCACAUCCGUAGUCAGGGAUGGCAACGGGAAACCGUGACGCAAUAAAAACAAGCGUCAAAACAAUGAAGACAACCCAGACAACACGGCGGUCAACGCCGGAUUUAGGGGCUCUCGACCCGGUCAAUGAAAAAAGCCAUUUAAAGGCAGCAGAGAUGGACCGUCCAACCUAAACAAGAUUCUAGACAAAUUAUGUCAGAUUCAUGGCACCCCCAAAAACCUGCAAAUCACACCAACAGAGAGUGCUGGGUCUUCAAGCAGGCUGGCAAACUAAACGUCGAACACAAGGGGAGGGAGACGCCAAGUGAAGACGAGGAUGAGCCUCGCCAGCCGAACACUGGGGGACAGAAAAAAUUCCCACCAGAGGUCAAAACAGUGAGCAUGAUUUAUGCAACUCACAUACCAAAGAGGAGGCGCAAACAUGCACUCCGAGGCAUAUACGCUGUAGAGCCCGUCGCCCCCAAGUUCAACCCUUGGUCGGCCUGCCCGAUCACUUUUGAUCGCAGGGAUCAUCCGACUAGUAUCCGGCAUGGAGGAUCGGCUGCCUUGGUGCUCGACCCAAUAAUUGACUGAUACCAUCUCACCCGAGUCCUUAUGGACGGCGGCAGUAGUCUCAAUCUGAUAUAUCAGGACACUGUCUGCAAAAUGGGGAUAGACCCGCCAAGAAUCAGCCAAAGUAGUAGCACCUUUAAAGGAGUAAUACCAGGCGUAGAGGCCCGCUGCACGGGCUCUCUAGUACUAGAGGUUGUAUUCGGUUCUCCCGACAACUUCCAAAGUGAAGAAUUAAUCUUCGACAUCUCUCCAUUCCAAAGUGGCUAUCACGCACUACUCGGAAGAACGGCCUUUGCUCGUUUCAAUGCAGUACCGCAUUACGCUUAUCUUAAACUUAAGAUGCCUGGUCCAUGUGGCGUUAUCAUAGUUAGCGGAAAUGCAGAGCGUUCCUUGCGUGCAGAAGAAUAUGUGGCGGCUCUAGCAGCCGAACACUGAACGGCCUCUCCAACCAGAAUAAAUGACCGGUUGUCAAGACCGCGGACACGGUUAGCUGAGUCCGGCGCACCACUAGUUGUAGCAGCCCAGAUAAACCUGAGCUUGGGUCGAUGGAUAUACCCCCAUAGGUGGUGCUAGGGGCUGCCCGCAUGUAAAAAAGGCCCAUAGUUCGUCUUUACCCUAUUAAUACAAUAACAUAUUGCAUUUUUUAUGGUUCAUUAAGAAUAACCAAUGUUUUCGCACGAAGUCUUUCACCUGGGUUUUUCUUUUCUACAGAUGAUCAUUGUGCUACACCCUUCCAGGAUACGGCACAACGGAGACAAAGGCGCAGACGUGCAAUAGGGCCCCACUCAAAGGUUUCUUUUUAGAUUAAGACCGUGUGUAAACCUUUUUUAAUGUCUCUUGUUGCUUCACACCAUCCGGGCACUUAAUACAACCCAGAGGGAUACUAGCGUUAUUGGCAUUUCGUCAUGCCAGAUUAAUGCAUGUACCUGGAAACUCAGGGCUCAUUAUCGAGGGCGUUACUUAGCCCAGUAUAUGUUGUAAAGUCCAAAUACCUUAGGGAGUGUUCGGCGUUGCGAGUUUGGCCUUAUAUGCAUCAGCUCCGAAUCAUGCCUUUAGUCAAUAGUUGGGUUUGCCCAGCUCUCGUGUUUUGCUACCUUAUGUUCCACUCUAUCGGCUAAGGCGGCACCGGGAGAACUACUGCGAUUGUGCCCUGGUUCAUCUGGAUAAGCACCUCAGUAGAGAAAGCCAAAAACUGACUAUCAUGAUAAAGCGAGAGACUGGUCAACCACUCGAUGACUCAGCGGAAUCAUUGCCAUUCCUCCGCAUUAACGAAGGACCGGUUUCCCGGUCAUGUACGUACGCGCAUCGUACUCGGAUGAACGCGGAAGUACCAGGGGCUAUAUAGUAGCCCCACCGUCAAACUCCUAUGGCUAAGUGAAAGUAUUAAAGCUAUAUAGUCCGAUUGCCUUGUUCGCCGCGCUAUCACCUCCUUAAUGGACCAAGACGUUGGAUCAAGUGUGAUUACAUGCUUUACCGAACACCCCCGCAUUAUAUGUGUGGAGGCUGAAGCCGACGACUGCAAACUUUCAGGUUAUAUACAUACAUACAUACAUAAACGGCCGCACAGGAGGCACUAUAAUACUUUCGGGAAAAAGUAUAAACACGGCCUUUAUAAUCAAAAUAGCAUUGUUUUUACAAUUCAGAUACAUGUCACUCGAACAUGGUACUCUUCGAGCACUGAGCCUCUAUUAAAUGGGCGCCUUCUAGGACUUCUUCAAAAUAGUGCUCGGCCGGGUCCUAGCCUCCGGCCGGACCCCGGGUUGCAAUAGCGGUGGCCUCCAUACCUACCCAAUAUGUUUUAACAUGGGAAAGAGCCAUCUGCGCACCCUCUAUGCACGCCGACCUCUUUACAGCGUCGAUAUGCAGCACAACACGAAGGAAUCAUUGCACUAAACCAAAAUAACUGUUCAGCCUUCAUCCCUUCGGCCAGAGAUGAUCCACGACAGACGUCAUGGCAAGCCCGGACAACCCAUGGAGCUCGGUCCACUCGGCCAUUUGUUCAUUUAACAGCAGCGGACGCUUUGGAGUACUGAACUGCGACCAGAACAACCUUUCCACCUCAUGAUCUUUCUGAUCUUUGAAAUAUUCAGUCGCAUCAGCAGCACUCUUUGCCAAGUCCAAGUAUACGUCUGCAUCACUCCAUAAUUGAUCCAGAGGGGCAUACUCCGGAUCUCCGAACUUUGUCCACAAUAAAAAGGGCUUCCCAGCCGUGAUAUCUCCGGCUUGACGAAGCUCCUCCCUUGCUGCUCUGAUUUCAGAGCGAGUUUCCUUGGCUGCUUCCAAGGCCUUCUUUAGGUCAGCCGCUUUCGCUUGGCUUUCCUUUUCGAGGAGCUCAUAUCGGCCGGUGGCAUCUUUCAGCUAAAUAGCCAUCUUGGCUAUUUUAUCUUCGCUCUGGCGAUGAGCAGCCUGUUCGGCUUUUAACUCUUCGGCCACCUUUAGGGCGGCCGCAUCACUUAUCCUGGCUUGUUCCUUGGCUCCGGCAAGUUCUGCCCGAAGGGUCUCCACGGCGGCAGCUCCAUCUGCAGUCACAACAUAUUAUAGAUACUAGCAUCAUGAUCCUCUUAAUAUUUGCUGACCACCCGAAAAUACAUACCCUGUGCCUCGUCAAGCUUCUUGUUCACAAGCACGAUGUCGGCAUCCGCCACGUCAAGCUGUCGCCUCAGUUAGGCAAAAUCAGUAGUCCGGUCAGCCGCCGGACCCUCAGCCGCCUGCACAUGAAAGCAGCGCGAUCAUUACCUGGGACUAUGAUCCUCUGUUUGCCGCCUCUGGACGGCAACCAGAGUCUCAGGGGCUACUAUCUACAUAGAGCACACAUAGCGUGUACGGUACCGUCAAAAAUACAUAUUACUUUGCGUACCUCAAAGCCUCUUAGCAGACUUGUAAAAGCUUCAUUCAACCCACUUUUGGCGGAUGAAAUCCUCUCAACCACCGUACCCAUUAAGGUACGAUGCGCCUCUGAGAUAGUCGCUUGCUCUAGAAGACCCAUCAAUGUGUCCGGUUGUGCACCGGACAAUCCCGGACUCUUUCUGUUGCUCUCCUUAGGAGCCGAAUACUCCGGACUUCGGGCGGCCGAUGAAUUACCUUCUGGACUUUGUGGAUCAAGAGAAAUCCUCCGUGACGACACCUCGGGGUCGUCCGCCCCAUGAGGCGGGGAGGCAGGAGGAGGUGUUUCGCUCUCCAUCAUCUCCGGAAGAAGAUCCCUCGAAGACGAACUCUGUCGAGAAGGGCUACGAGCCGGACUACAAGAUAUAUGUCUCAGUCAUUAUUCUCAAAGAUAAAGCAGGAUAUAUUUACCAAAGCACUUUUGCUCACUUACAGCUCGGUUGAGGGCUGGCCCCCUUGAGGGCACUGUGCGGUAAGGAUGCCCUCUGGGGCAGGGCCCCCUGGCGAAGGUUUCUUCCCUCGUUUGGAAACCUCCAUUUCCAAGUCUUCAGAGGUGGCCCUCUUCUUCCCGUGGGGAGAAGGGAUUCUAGAUUCACCUCCCCGAUUAUCCUCCUUCGUGGAGACACUAAUUCCCCCGGUUUGGAUGUGUAAUGUAUGAAGCCCGCUUUCGGCUUCUCUAUUCCUCCCUUCAUCUUCUCCUGAUUGCACUUGAUAGGGUGCGCGCUCAAGCAUCCUGGUUAGUACAGGAUCCGGCGAGCCUUCGGGAAGGAGUGCCGAACACCUGAUCCUCUCCGCCUUUCUUAUCCAGUCCUGGCCGAGAGCAAUUUUUCAGAAUGAUGUUGUAACAAAUAUAAAGACGGCAGGUUUGGUCGUGGAAUUACUUACUUGGGUAUCCAGACGGUUGCAGUUGAGACCCGCAUCCUCGAUGGUGUCCGGACACUUUAUUCUUGAUCCGAAGAACAAUCCAUACAUCCCUUCGAGCGUCACGCCGAAGAAUUGUUGAAUAGUUCACGGUCCUUCCGGGUUGAACUCCCACAUACGGAGAGAUCAAUGUUGGCAUGGCAGGACCCGACGAACUAGCAUUACUUGCAUUACCUUGACAAGACUGACAUCCCUCUUGAGGAGAUCUCAUAUGCGGCUUUGCAAUGUUAGCACGUCAUUAACUAGCACCCAGUCCAGUCCCUUGUUGACCCAUGACGCCAGUUGGGGCGGAGGGCCCGAACGGAAGGCGGGGGCGGCCGCCCGCUUUGUACCUCGGGGAGCUGUGAUGUAAAACCACUCCUGUUGCCAUAAGUCGGACACCUCUGAGAAGGAACCCUCUGGACAUAGGGCGUUGGCACCUUUGCUUAUUAUAGCGCCUCCGCACUCCGCGUGUUGCCCGUCGAUCAUCUUCGGCUUCACAUUGAAUGUCUUGAGCCAUAAGCCGAAGUGUGGGGUGAUGCGGAGGAAGGCCUCACACACGACGAUAAACGGCGAGAUGUGAAGGAUGGAAUCUGGAGCUAGAUCAUGGAAAUCUAGCCCGUAAUAGAACAUGAGCCCUCUAGCAAAGGGAUCAAGACUAAAGCCUAGCCCUUAGAGGAAGUGGGAAACAAAUACGACACUCUUGUUGGGUUCGGGCAUGGGGAUGACCUGCCCUUGAGAAGGCAGCCUGUGCGGGAUUUCGGCGGUCAGAUACCCGACCUCCCUGAGCUGCUUGAUGUCCUCCUCUGUAACAGAGGAAGGCACCCACCAGCCUUGAAGGUUGGAUCCGGACAUGGUUGAAGGUCCAAAGCACUUAGCCUAAAGCCUUGGGUGUUGGAACUCGAGGUGGGGGAAGGGGAGAAUCGAGCGUGGGAAGAAAAGGACAGGCCUUGGCCCCUUUAUAAAGAGGGUGAAUAUCAAGCGUCGUCCGCGUGGCCGUUUGGAACUUGCCUAAAAUCAGGAGUCAUACUAACAAGCACGGUUGGGUUACCCACACCCGUAUUGAUGAGAAUCCCGUGAUAAGGGGAACAAGAUCUCUGCUUCGACAAGACGUGCCAAUAAAACCGCCUCGCAACACGUGCAGCGGCAGGCUGGGAAAAACGGUUCAUACAAACCGGGCCGCGGCGUGACGUCACGUUAUGAAAAGAUGUCAGCAGAUUAGAUUUGUGGAAUAUUGUUCUUUCUAUGAUGGUAUGUGGAAUUUGUUUUGCAGAGCCGGACAUGAUCCUUUUGUUCAAAAUAUUCCAUGGAGUAUUCGAAGAAGGAACCCGCCUUGCAAUGCCGAAGACAAUCUGCGCGCUGGACUCAUUGUCAUUGAAGCCUGGUUCAGGGGCCACUGAGGGAGUCCUGGAUUAGGGGGUCCUCGGACAGCCGGACUAUAUACUUUGGUCGGACUGUUGGACUAUGAAGUACAAGAUUGAAGACUUUGUCCUGUGUCCGGGUGGGACUCUCCUUUGCAUGGAAGGCAAGCUUGGCAAUCCGGAUAUGUAGAUCUCCUUCUCCGUAACUGACUCUGUGUAACCCUAGCCCCCUCCGGUGUCUAUAUAAACCGGAGGGUUUGGUCCAUAGGACAUCAACAAUCAUAAUCAUAGGCUAGCUUCUAGGGUUUAGCCUCUAUGAUCUCAUGGUAGAUCAACUCUUGUAAUACUCAUAUCAUCAAGAUCAAUCAAGCAGGAAGUAGGGUAUUACCUCCAUCGAGAGGGCCCGAACCUGGGUAAACAUUGUGUCCCCUGCCUCAUGUUACCAUUAGCCUUAUACGCAUAGUUCGGGACCCCCUACCUGAGAUCUGCCAGUUUUGACACCGUCAGCAGCGCCCCCCAUCUUUCCUUCUCCCUCUCCACCUCUUUCCCUUUCUCCCUCUCUUGGAAAAGGAAGGGGACUCCAACUAGGAUUGGGAAUCCUAGUUGGACUCCCCUAUAGCCGUGCCCCUCCUAGGCCGGCCUCCUCCUCCUCCCUCCUUUAUAUACGGGGACAAGGGGGCACCCCAAAACACAACAGUUGUUCUCUUAGCCGUGUGCGGUGCGCCCUCCACAGUUUAACACCUCGAUCAUAUCGUCGUAGUGCUUAGGCGAAGCCCAACAACACUGUCACCACGCCGUCGUGCUGACGGAACUCUCCCUCGUCCUCAACUAGAUCAAGAGAUCGAGGGACGUCAUCGUGCUAAACUUGUGCUGACCACGAAGGUGCCGUAUGUUCGGUACUUUGAUCAGUUGAAUCGUGAAGACGUUUGACUACAUCAAGUGCAUUACUAAACACUUCCGCUUUCGGUCUACGAGGGUACAUGGACACACUCUCCCAUCUCGUAACUAUGCAUCUCCUAGAUAGAUCUUGCAUGAUCGUAAGAUUUUUUUGAAUUACUACAUUUCCCAACAGUGGCAUUCGAGCCAGGUUUAUGUGCAGAUGUUUUAUGCACGAGUAGAACACAUAGAGUUGUGGGCGAUAAUAGUCAUACUGCUUACCACCAAUGUCUUACUUUGAUUCGGCGGUAUUAUUGGAUGAAGCGGCCCGGACUGGCAUUACAUGACCGCAUUCAUGAGACUGGUUCUAACGACGUGCUUUUGCACAUAGGUGGCUGGCGGGUGUCUAUUUCUCCAAGUUUAGUUGAAUUGAAUUUGACUAUGGCCGGUCCUUGUUGAAGGUUAAAACAACACACUUGAUGAAUAAUCAUUGUGGUUUUGAUGCGUAAGUAAGAACGGUUCUUGCUAGAAGCCCAUACCAGCCACGUAAAACUUGCAACAACAAAGUAGAGGACGUCUAACUUGUUUUUGCAGGGCUUGUUGUGAUGUGAUAUGGUCAAGACAUGAUGUGAUAUAUAUUGUUGUAUGAGAUGAUCAUGUUUUGUAACAGAGUUAUCGACAACUGGUGGGAGCCAUAUGGUUGUCACUUUAUUGUAUGAAAUGCAAUCGCCAUGUAAUUGCUUUACUUUAUCACUAAGCGGUAGCAAUCGUCGUAGUAGCAAUAGUUGGUGAGAUGACAACGAUGCUACGAUGGAGAUCAAGGUCUCAAGCUGGUGACGAUGGAGAUCAUGACAAUGCUUCGGUGAUGGAGAUCAUGAGCACAAGAUGAUGAUGGCCAUAUCAUGUCACAUAUUUUGAUUGCAUGUGAUGUUUAUCUUUUAUGCAUAUUAUUUUGCUUAGUAUGGCGGUAGCAUUAUAAGAUGAUCCCUUACUAAAUUUCAAGGUAUAAGUGUUCUCCCUGAGUAUGCCCCGUGUCUAUAGUUCGCCGAGACACCACGUGAUGAUCGGGUGUGAUAAGCUCUAUGUUCACAUACAAUGGGUGCAAGCCAGUUUUGCACAUGUAGAAUACUCGGGUUAAACUUGACAAGCCUAGCAUAUGCAGAUAUGGCCUCGGAACACGGAGACUGAAAGGUCGAACGUGAAUCAUAUAGUAGAUAUGAUCAACAUAGUGAUGUUCACCAUUGAAAACUACUCCAUCUCACGUGAUGAUCAGACAUGGUUUAGUUGAUUUGGAUCACGUGAUCAUUUAGAUGACCAGAGGGAUGUCUCUCUAAGUGGGAGUUCUUAAGUAAUAUGAUUAAUUGAACUUUAGUUUAUCAUGAACUUAGUCCUGAUAGUUUUUGGAUGUCUAUGUUGUUGUAGAUCAAUGGCCCGUGCUACCGUUCCCUUGAAUUUUAAUGCAUUCCUAGAUAAACCUAAUCUGAAAGAUGAUGGUAGCAAUUACGCGGGCUGGGUUUGUAACUUGAGGAUUAUCCUCAUUGCUGCACAGAAGAAUUACGUCAUGGAAGCACCGCUAGGUGUACCACCUGCACCAGCAACUGCAGACACUGUGAAUGCCUAACAGACGCGUGUUGAUGACUACUCGAUUGUUCAUUGUGCCAUGCGUUACGGCUUAGAAUCGAGACUUCAACGAUGUUUUGAACAUCAUGGAGCAUAUGAGAUGUUCCAAGAGUUGAAGUUAAUAUUUCAAGCAAAUGCCCGAGUUGAGAGAUAUGAAGUCUCCAACAAGUUCUAUAGCUGCAAAAUGGAGGAGAAUAGUUCUGUCAGUGAACACAUACUCAGAAUGUUUGGGUACCUGUCGGGGAAACUGAUCCACGAACACCUAUGGGACCGGCGGACCGAGCCCCUUUCGGUUCAGCAGGGGGCGGAGGUCGCACGAAGAGCAGAUCAAGGCGAAGCACACGAGCAGUUUACCCAGCUUCGGAGCUCUCCGGAGAGAUAAUACUCCUACUGCUGCUUGUCUGAUUGUAUUGAGUUCUUGCUCGAGAGCGCUGGGUGUUACAGGACACACGAGCUCCUAACGAGACCGAGCGUGAGUGUGUUUCUGGUUUUCGAGCCGAAGCCAACCGAACCCCCCCUACGUUGCGCAUGGGCCUCCUUUUAUAUGCUCAAGGGGUCACCGACAGGUGGCAACGCAGACGAGGGUAAAAUGGAAAAAGAGGGGUGGUUGGUAUAGCUACCUGCACAGUGCAUCCUACCUAACCCUGACGGCAGGGGACAAAGGCAUUAAAUGCCCGUCUGUGUCGCCCAAAUAGUGUAAAAAGGGACCGUCAGGGGCGCCAUCACUCGCCACGAUGGCAAUCUUGUCAGCGUCACAUGCCUCCGUGCACCGCUGGCUGCACAGCCUCUCGCCACGCGCGCCUGGAAAGGCCCCAGGUCGACACGUUGGUGGAUGUGCUGGAGCGUGGGUACAGAGUGGCCGCUUGCCGCGGCAAGCGCCUUGCCGCGGUCGUUGCCUUGUCGCGUCCGGAAGCUUGUCGCUCACCGGGCCUUGCCGGGACGCGUGGCGCGUCGCGGCAAGUUCCUUGAGGUUCCUUGGUUGGCCUUCCCGGCAAGCUCCUCUUGCCGGGGCCUUGUCUCCUUGGCUUGAAUACUUUGUUCUUGAAUGGCUCCAAGGGAACCACAGAGGACCGUGGCGGUCACCCAGCAAGCCUUGCCGCGGGGUGCUGCGACUGCCCGUGCACAAGUUCGGGAUACUAGGGUACCCCUACUCUAGUACACCGACAGGAGCCCCCGGGCAUGGGCCACACACGGUGCCGAGCGCUGUUGGGCCAGGCCCAAAAAAGGGCACGGGCACGCGCGCCCUGGGUUAUGUCGUUUCUUACUCCGCAUCCACCGCGCCCUCCCCCAACGGCAUGCGUCGAAUGCGGCAUCGUGGGAGAGAUCGUGGGUGGUUUCUUUAUUCGGAAGGGCGAAACGUCCGCCCCCUCCCUCUUUAUAAGCAGGGGAAACAGGGGCAGUUCGCCCAUCUCGCCGGUUGUUACUCCAAUUUCAGAAAUCUCCACCGCUCCCCCCUUCUUCCGGAAGCUGAAAGAGAGUAGCGCUCCGCCCCCCAUUGCCACCAGCACCACCAACGCCGUCGAUCUCCCCCACCACUUCCGCCAUGGCUUCGAAAGCCGACAAGGGGAAGGGCGUGAAAUCGGUCGAGGCGCAGCGGCUCGCGGCGCUGCGAAAGGAGCGGGCCAUCUUCCCCCCUCAGCUCGCCGCGAAGGAGCUGAGGGAGUACUACUACCUCUUCUGGUCGACGGAGACGCGAGCGCAUCCGCGCACGAAGGUACUCCUGGCCGCCGCUUCGGAAUUGGCUCCAAAUGGGUACCCCUUCUUCGCGUUGUUCUUCUACUGCGGGCUCUGCCCGCCUUUCUCUGAAUUCUUCUGUGACAUCAUGAACACCUACGGGUUCCGCCUCCUUGACUUCACCCCCAACGCCGUUCUGACCAUGGUAGUUUUCGCACAUCUCUGCGAAAACUUUGUCGGAGUCCACCCAAACGUAGCCCUUUUUCGCCACUUCUUUAUGCCCCAGGUUGAGAGAGGGGAGCCUCUUGCCGGCGGGAUCGCUUGGAUCUCGAGGGUCGGCAAGAAGGAAGCUUAUCUGGAGGGAGAGCUCCGCAGCAAGUGGGAGGAGUGGAGAGCAAAGUGGUGCUGGGUUGUCAAGGAGAACCCGUAGCCAUUUACUGCCCUACGCCAAGCCCCAAUAGUGCGUGGCAAUUAUUGGAGCAACGUGGCCCCGGAAGAUGACAGGCUGAAGAUCGCCGUCACCCGGAUCCUACGCCUUAGGCUUGCCGGGCUCACCAUAGGCGCCGUUGGCGCAGAUUUUCUUCGCCGCCGCAUCGCCCCCUUGCAGGAGAGGAGGAGACCCGCCUGGGAGUUCCAGAACUCGGCGGAUAUCAUGAGGCUGCGCCCGGGCCUCAACUUCAACUUCACUGUCCGGGAGCUGGACGCGAUGCUCCUGGAACUGUUCAAGCGCGAUCCUCAACAUCCAUUCAUGUUGCCGAGGAGCGUCGUUCCGCCGUGUAACAAUUCCUCGCUCGACCGCAUCCGCGCAAUGAUGCCGCUGUGCGAUUCGCAUGGGAUUGUUCCAACUUGGCAAGAGCCUGCAGACGAUGUCGUGCAGGAUUUCUUCGACGGCUUGGUUGAAGUGCCGGUCCGCGCCGAUGAACAGAAGAGCCUCACCCGCGACACCACCGAUGCUGAGAUGCAGCGCAUCGCCACCAGGCUGGAAGAGGCGGCGGCAGCCGCUGCCGCGGGCGAGUUUGGAUUCACCAUGGAGGAGGCAGAGGCAGCAGAGGCGGCAAGCCUUGUCGAGCGAGAGGAGUUUGCCGGCGAGGAAGAGCUUGCCGGGCCUGAAGCUGAGUCGAGCGAGCCCGCCGAGGGCGUGGGCGACUCGUUGGAGAUCGGCUCUUCCUCCCCUCUACCUUCAGUCAGCUCGCCACAAGCGGAGCCCCCAGCUCCGCCAAGAAGGCGCCUCCGCAAGGCCGGCGACAUAGCGGGGCGGCAGACGGGUCAGCAGCCGUCGUGCCGCGCGACUCGCUCUACCACGGCAAGCACUAUUGCCGCGGGAGCAUCUCACGCCGCUGCGGCAACUAGAGCGGGGUCUUCCCGGUCCGCUGCUACUUCUCCUGCCAAGCGGACGAGGGAGCCUACUCCUCCGCCUCGUCGCACCGGAGGUGAGCCGGACUUCGAUCUUUCCGCGCUCAGCUCCGACGAGGAAGAAUAAGAGUAAGAUUCUUCGCAGUACUUGUAGUUCUUCAAUUCUUGCUGUUUUUGUCUUGUAUCUGAUUUGCUUUACUCUGAACUCAUUCUUUUUCAGGACGCUGGCCCAGAGAGCAGCAAAGAGAGCCAAGGUCCCGGUGAUUGUCAUUGAGGACGAACCCACCGCGACGGCAGAGGACACGUCCGAGACUACCUUGCCGGACCCGGCAUCCAUUCCUCAAAGCAGCUCCCAGCGCAGCCCCCCACGUAAGUAUAUGGUUUACUUCAUGCUGUCAAGCGCGCAUGGGUACUCUUUCUUUGCUGAUAUCUGACUGCUGGUUUGUGCAGGAGCAGAGCAGCCUCAUCAGGAGUGCCCGGAAGCCGCUCCCGAAGUGCCAUCUGCUUCGACUACACCGCCAAGGGAGGAUUCCCCGGCAAGGGAGCAUUCUCCGAAAAGGGAGAAUUCUCCGGCAAGGGGCAGUUCUCCGGCAAGAGGCAGUUCCCCGGCAAGGGACAGCACUGGCAACCCUCCGGUGGUUGAGACCAUGACUGCAGAUCCCAGUACAGGUAACCCCCUUGCUUGAAAACUUCCCUUGGGUUCUUCUUCUUCUGAUUCUCCUUUUGGAUAUUUGCUUGACUUUUCUCCCUUUUCCGUUCGUCAGAUCCACCUGCCACGGAGCCGAUGGAAACCGAGGUCGCCGGCAAGGAGGGCGCGCGCGGCAGUACCGACGACGCCGUCGCCACCGAAGGAGAGGCCGACGCUGAUGAGCCUGCCGGCGGAGAGGCCGCCGAAGCUGCUGCCGCAGAAGCCGGCGAGGGAUCCGGUGAUUGCACUGACGGCCCCGAGGCCGCAGGAGCGUCUGGCGCUACACCGAUCGCCGAUCCCUCCGCCGCUGCUGCAGCGCCAGGCUCCGAAGAGCCCCAGCCCGGCGCCUAUUUGAAGGCCGGCGACGGUAUCUUCAUCAAGCUUCCCUGGGCGUCAAGCUCCAGGGCGCCGGUCGAGGGAGAAAUCCUGGACGGAGAGGUGCUCGCCUCCGCUGGGCUGACGCUGGUCGACGCGCCAAGCAGCAGCAGCGAUGAGCCUGAGGAGGAGCGGCUGCUGCGGAAGCUGAUGUCGCUCUACCGCGCCCGACAAGCCAAGCUGGCAUCCCGAGAAGCACUUGUCGCGAAGGCGGGAGUGGAUAUCGAGAAGCGCGCGGAGGAGCUCCGGGGUCUCAGGCAGGAAGCUCUCCGGUCCCUGGCGGAGGAGCGGGAGCAACUUCUCGAGGAGCGGAAAGCCUUCCUCCUCGAGAAGGCUGAAGUUGAAGAGAAGCAAUGGCUUGUCGCCGAAAAUCUAUUUGCGCAGGAAGGAGAGUUGGCGCAGCGCAAGGUCAACCUUGACAGCCACGAGGAGGAGCUUGCCGAGCGCGAGCAAGCAAUUGGCGGGGCUCUCAAGGAGGCAAGGGAUGCCGCCACAGCUGCCGAGGCUGCCAAGAAGGAGCUGGAGACGAAGGUGGCGCAGCUGGAAGCCGAUCUCAGGGCGAGCGGCGAGAAGCUUGCCGAGCUCAGGCGUGAGCGCGAGAAGGACGCUGCCGCUCAUGGUGAGCUGCAGGGUCUUCUCGCUGAGAGGAGCAAGGAGCUCAGUGCCGCCAAGGAUUCCAAUGCAGAUCUCGAGUUGAAUCUGGCUACUUUGACUCAGACGCUGGACGGCGCCAGGGAGCGGGAGGUGACCUUGUCGGAGAAGAUCAAGGCCGACGAGGGGCUGCUAGCGAAUGCUGCUGCCGCCCAGAAUGCAUUUAGGGAGACUGUGGAGCACUGGACCAAGGGUCUCGUGAAUGUUGCCGCAGUCAUCGACGGGGAGCUGGCGCAGCUGGGGAUGGAGGACCUCGAGUACUCCUCCGAUGAGCGCCUCCAACCCAGCGCCAAGCUCAGCUUGUUCUUCAAAGGCGUGGAGACGGCCCUCCAGCGACUCCGGGAGAAGAUCCCAAAGCAGCUGGCCGACGAGUCGCGCAAGAUCUGCGCGGGAGUUCUUCAAAAGGUGCUGGUGAAGGUGGCCUUCCGCAACCCAGGCCUCAACCUCACCAACGUCCUCAGGCCCCUGCCGCCAAAUGCUGAUCUGGAAGCGCUCAAGGCCCUUGUCGCACCCAUUGUGGACAAGGUGAGCGAGAUCAAGAGGGUUGAGGGAAAUCGCGUAGAUUAGGCCGCGCGUUUUCUCUUUUUCUUGUCGCUGUUGAUCAUGUUAUGAGAACAAUCUAUUAGAGCUGCUACAAGCUAUCUUGUAAUAUAACUCUAUUUUGGGUAGUGAUUGCUAUGUUAUUUCCUUUACUUGAUUCCUUCCAUUGUAUGUUUUGCCCUACGCUUUUAGGAAACUUGUCGGUGCAGGCACCUUAGCCGCGAGCGUUGAGUGCGGGACGUCAGCAGCCUGCUGGCGGUGCCGCUACCGGCAAGAAACCUUGUCGCAACUAGUCGCAGCACACUUAAGUUGUUGAGCGGACUCGAAACAAAGUAAGGGCGCAACUAGCUACGAGUUGGUUCCUCCGCGCACAGGUUUUCUAUACAAAGCACGGUCGUUCGAGGAAGAUAACUUAAAAAUUUAAAAACCGAUUGCUCAAACUUUGGCAACUUAGCUUUUUCUGUCGCUUGUUUUCCGGUAAGGCGGAACUUCCUUGAACGAUGCCUGGUCCACACCAUUAUCUUCUCCUUUCCCCCCGGCAAACUUGUGGGCGAGGGAACCUUCCUUUCCUUUUUGAGAAAAAGAAAGAAGAGAAAAUAAAGACAUGGAGCCUUAUGGCUCAUUAUUGCUUACCGGGGGUAAGUGCUGCACAAAGUGUCAGAUAGCGCAUGCAAAGAUAAAGUAGAAAGCAUGAAAUUGACAAGAUGUGCAGCGCACAUGAGCUUUACUUAUGCACGGGGUCUGUGCCCGGCUUUGUACAAAGGAUUACAUGCAACGUCGGCAAGACUUGUACAAAAGGUGCUUGCCGGAACAGGUUCUGGCAACCGCGCCCUACGGGUAAAACUUACGAAGAUGCUCAAUGUUCCAGGAGUUGCUCACCGGAGUGCCAUCUUCGGUCUCAAGGCGGACAGCGCCAGGCCUAGUGUCUCGUUUCACCCGAUAAGGGCCUUCCCACUUUGGCGUCAACUUGUUGGAAUUCUUGGCGGACUGAACGCGCCGAAGAACAAGGUCGCCUUCCUCGAAACUUCUGGCAUUAACUUUGCGGCUAUGGUAGUGGCGCAAAGCUUGCUGGUAUCGAGCAGCUCGUACAGCAGCCUGAAGCCGGUCCUCCUCAAGGAGCAGCGCAUCAUCUUGUCGCAGCUGCUCUUGCUCAAGCUCAUCAUAAGAGAGCACUCGAGGUGAUCCAUAUACGAGUUCCGUGGGGAGAACUGCCUCUACUCCGUAGACUAGAGCGAAAGGUGUCUGGCCAGUGGCUCGAUUUGGCGUCGUCCUGAUCGACCAAAGAACCACCGGCAGCUCCUCAAUCCAGUUCCUUCCGCACUUGUGGAGCCUGUCGAAAGUCCUGGUCUUGAGCCCGCGCAGCACUUCAGCAUUUGCCCUCUCCGCUUGACCGUUGCUUCUCAGAUGAGCAACAGAAGCGAAGCAGACCUUGGCGCCAAGAUCUUGGACGUACUGCAUGAAGGUGCGGCUUGUGAAUUGCGUGCCGUUGUCGGUGAUGAUCCUGUUAGGGAUCCCGAAACGGCAAACAAUCGACCUGAAGAACUUGACUGCUGAUUGUGCUGUCACCUUCCUAACUGGUUCCACUUCCGGCCACUUUGUGAACUUGUCGAUUGCAACGUACAAGUACUGAAAGCCCCCGACAGCUCGGGGAAAGGGGCCGAGGAUGUCGAGCCCCCAGACCGAAAAUGGCUAGGAUAAAGGGAUCGUCUAGAGAGCUUGAGCUGGCUGGUGUAUCUGUUUGGAGUGGAACUGGCAUGCUUCACACUUGGUUACUUGUGCAGUUGCAUCCUGGAGGGCUGUCGGCCAAAAGAAACCUUGCCGGAAAGCUUUGCCGGCAAGUGCUCUUGCGCCAAUGUGGUGACCACAUAUGCCUCCAUGUAUCUCUGCCAAUAGCUUUUGUCCAUCUUCCCGAUGAAUGCACUUCAAUUUCACACCGUUGAGUCUUCUUCUGUACAGUGUGUUGUCGACAAACUGGUACAUAGUUGACUGCCAGGCUACUUUUUCCGCUUCUUCUUGCUCUUCGGGAAGUUCUCCUGUCUGAAGGAAAUGGACAAUCUGCUGUGCCCAUGCUGGAGCUUGCGGCUCGACAACAAGGACUAAAGGCACAUCUGCUGCUGUGGGAACAUCCGCUUCUACAGCGAGAACAUGCGGCUCAGCCGGAGCUUGAUGUUCCCCGGUAAGCUUGCCGGAGCAAAACUUGUCGGGAGCGUCUGCUACGAUGGAACAAACCCUAAGGCUUGCCGGAGCAGACUGCUCCUCAGCGCUCUUGGUGUUGAUCUUGAGGACCUUCUUGGCGGCGGCUUCGGGUAGCUUUGCCGGAAAAUAGUCACCAGAAACCAACUUCCUCUUCUUGCUCUGUCAGUUGAUGGCAUCACAGAUGGUUGAGUCAGCUUGAGCACGAAGAUCCCUGGUUCCACAGGUAACUUCAAUGCGGCGCACUUUGACAGGCCAUCGGCAAUGUCGUUCUGAGCUCUUGGAACAUGUUCCAUCUGUAGGCCGUCAAAGUGCUCUUCUAGCUUUCUCACUUCAUCAACGUAGGCCUCCAUCAAUAGACUCUGAUAAUUCUUGUUCACUUGGCGGACGACAAGCUGUGAGUCACCCCUGACAAUAAGCUUCCUGAUCCCAAGGUCCGCUGCGAUCCUGAGACCGGCAAGCAAACCUUCAUACUCUGCAGUAUUGUUCAUUGCUUGCUCCUUGGGAAAGUGCAUCUGGACUACGUACUUGAGGUGCUCUCCGGUGGGUGCGACAAGUAGCACGCCCGCACCGGCGCCUUGCAGCGAGAAGGCACCAUCAAAGUACAUCAACCACUCUUUGCCUGCUUCCUUGACGGGGAUGCUCGUUUCUGGAAUUUCUUCAUCUUGUGUUGGCGUCCAUUCUGCUAUGAACUCCACCAAUGCCCUGCUUUGGAUAGUUGAAGUGCUCUCAAACUUGAGGCCAAAGGUUGACAGUUCCAGCGCCCACUCGACAAUCCUGCCUGUUGCUUCUGGAUUUUGUAGUAUCCUCUUCAGCAGAAAACGAGUGACGACUGUGAUCUCAUGUGCUUGGAAGUAAUGGCGCAGCUUUCUCGAGGCCAUGAGAAGGCCGAAAAGCAGUUUCUGCACUCCAGAGUACCUUGACCUAGCCCCUACAGAAGGGAACUGACAAAGUAAACUGGGCGCUGCACCAUUCUUUUCUGCAUCUCUUCGUGUGCCUGCGCAGAUCCAUCUUUGUCGGGACCAGAGCUUGUCGGUGAAGUCCCUUGCUUGUCGCUGGGUGCAUCUGCCGUGGUUGCUGGCUCAUCAUCCGCCUCCCUCUCUGCCACUAACGCAGCACUAACCACUUGAUUGGUUGCCGCUAUAUAUAGCAGCAACUUCUCUUGUGGCUUAGGUGCGACAAGUGUUGGAGUGGAGGACAUGUAUCUCUUCAAGUCCUGCAGCGCAGCCUCCGCCUCCGGAGUCCAUUUCAUUGGACCUGCCUUUUUCAAUAUUUUGAAAAACGGCAGGGUGCGCUCAGCAGAUCUAGAGAUAAACCUGCUGAGAGCAGCCACGCAACCGGCAAGUCUUCGUACAUCCUUGACGCGCUUUGGUGCUUCAAUCUGCUCAAUGGCCUUGAUCUUGUCGAGAUUGGCUUCAAUUCCCCGCUGAGACACGAAGAACCCGAGAAGCUUGCCGGAGGGGACUCCAAACACACACUUCUCGGGGUUCAGCUUGAGGUUGAUCUUGCGCAGAUUUGCAAAUGUUUGGUCUAAAUCUUGAAUCAGGGUCGCCCUGUCCUUGCUCUUGACCACUAUGUCAUCCAUGUUGGGUUCCACAUUUCUGUGCAUUUGUGGCUCAAAAGCGUGGUGGACUACCCUUGCAAAUGUUGAACCAGUAUUCUUUAAACUGAAAGGCAUCCGUACGAAACAGUAUGUGCCACAUGGGGUGAUGAAUGCGGUCUUCUCCUCAUCCUCUUCUGCCAUGAAGAUCUGAUGGUAUCCUGAGUAUGCAUCAAGAAAUGAAAGCAAGUCACAUCCGGCCGUGGAGUCAACAAUCUGAUCGAUGUGCGGCAAGGGAAAUGGGUCUUUGGGACAAGCUUUAUUGACAUCGGUAAAGUCGAUACAAAGCCUCCAUUUCCCGUUAGCCUUGCGCAUGACUACAGGAUUGGCCAACCACGUAGGAUGGAGCACUCCUCUGACAAGGCCUGCUGCUUCCAACUUCUUGAUUUCUUCUGCAAUGAAUUCUUGGCGCUCCAUUGCCUGCUUCCUGACUUUCUGCUUGACGGGCCGCGCAUGAGGACAGACGGCCAGGUGGUGCUCAAUUACUUUCCUGGGAACACCGGGGAUGUCAGACGGUUGCCACGCAAACACGUUGACGUUCGCCCGCAGGAAAGCAACGAGCGCGCUUUCCUAUUUAGGGUCGAGAGCGGACACCUUCUUGGUCUCUGGUGGAGCUGCCAUUGCCUUCUUACACUUGCCGGUGGAGCUUGAUGGUGCGUCCUCGACAGUAGCGCAGCACUCCGAAGAGGUGCGCUUGCCGGAGUGGGCAUCAGAACUCUUGCCGGACUUGGUCUUUUUCUUCCCCCCGGGAGCUUCAGCGGCAAGUGACCUGCGAUCUGUUGCAGCUGCUGCUUCCCGGUAGAUCUUGUCGGCGCAGAUAAGAGCAUCCUUCUUGUCGCUAGGGACAAAGAUGACGCUUAUCGAGCCUGGCAUCUUCAGCAUGUUGUAUGCAUAGUGAGAGGCUGCCAUGAAUUUGGCGAGUGCUGGACCGCCGAGUAUCCCAUUGUAAGGCAAUGGAAAGUCAGCAACGUCAAAAGUGACCCUCUCAGUCCUGAAGUUCAACUCGCUGCCAAAUGUCACCGGCAACGUGAUCUUUCCCUUUGGCUUGCUCCUUCCCGGAUUGAUUCCUUGGAAUGUACCGAUCUCUUCGAGCUCGCUGUCAGGGAUUUGGAGUUUCUGGAGCACCGCGGAGGAGAUCAGAUUCAAGCCGGCCCCGCCGUCAACUAGCAUCUUAGUGACCUUGAGGUUGCGGAUAGUUGGCGAAACCAACAUCGGCAAGCACCCGACCGCAGUUAUGCGAUCAGGGUGGUCCUCAAUAUCAAAGAUGAUAGGCGUGCUGGACCAUUUCAGAGGCCUGCGUGACUCGACGGGUGGUUCUGCCGCAUUGACUUCCCGCACCCAUUGUUUGAGUUGGCGGUGUGAAGUAUGCAGAGAAGCACCGCCGUCAACGCACGGGACCUCUGUGGCUUUCUGGAACUCCUGCUCAUCGGCCUCGUCAUCAUCCAUAUCUUCAUCGUCGUCGUCAUCUUCAUCCUUGUCGCGGCCGCGGGGAGGUCUGUCUCCUUGCCGCUGCUUGGCCUUGCCGCGGCGUCCUCCCCGGCCGGGGCGCUUCUUGCCGGAUCCUCCAGCACCCUCCUGGGCCUUCUCCUUGUCGCGUCGCUCGUAUUCAGCCUUUUGCUGUUCGACAAGCUGCUCGACCUUCUUGCAGCUCUGGAGGUCAUGGCCCUUGGUGCGGUGGAUCUUGCAGUACUGCUUGUUGGUGCCGUCCUGCUUGUCGGCGACCGCCAGAGCCUGGUAGUUAGUGCCUGCGGCAAUCUCCUUGCUGGAGCUACCAGCUUUGGCUUUCUUGGUGCCACCUCCGUUGCCGGACUGCUCAACGACUAACACAUCUUUGCCUUUCUUCUUCCUGUUGUUCCGCCGCCGGUUUUUCUUUGCCGGGGCAACAUCCUCACUAUCAGAUCCUCCUGCUCCUGUAUUCUCUCCGGGGAGUUUCCUCCCUUCCUUAGCACGUGCACACUUGUCGGCCAGGGCAUAUAGCUCUCUGACGUCUCUGAUCUUGCACAUCGCCAUCUCCUCCCGCAUCCUGCGGUUUCGCACGUUCUGAUGGAACGCGCUGAUUACCGCAGCAGGGUGGACAUCUGGGAUGUUGUGCUGUAUGUGGCUGAAUCUCUGAAUAUACUUGCGUAGGGGCUCUCCUUCCUUCUGGGCGAGCAGAUGAAGGUCACUCUCUUGGCCAUGGGGCUUGUGGCCGCCUGUAAAGGCGCCGACAAACUGAUGGCAUAGAUCGGCCCAAGAGGAUAUGGAGCCGUCCGGCAAGUGCAUGAGCCAGGAUCUGACGUUGGGUUUGAGCACCAGUGGGAAGUAGUUGGCAAGGAUCUUGUCGUCCCGCCCCCCGGCAGCUUGCACCGCAAUGGUGUAGAUGCUGAGGAACUCCGACGGAUGCGUCUUGCCGUCAUACUUCCCUGGUACGUCUGGCUUGAAAUUCUUCUUGCUGGGCCACUGGACUUGCCGCAGCUCACGAGUAAACGUAGGGCAACCUACCGCGUACGGCAAGUCGCCUGGUUCCCCUGGCGCAUGCAUGUCGACAGAGGGCCCAGCGCGCUGGUCAGAUUGACGCCGUGCUUCUCUUCGGUGCUCGAUGCGAGUACGAGCGUCUUCUUGCUGUCGUUCGUGAAGAACUUGGCGUUGAUCACGACGAGCUCGUGGAUCCGAUGAUGCGGUGGAGUCGCUGUCGAGGUGGACCCGGCGAGUCGGCGAUCUUGGCCUUCGGGACGGAGAGUGCAUGGUGGUUGCACCCCCACCAGUUUCGCCGCCACCGGCUCGCGCCUGGCAGUCCUGCUGUGGCAGCGAUGUACUCGGCUGCCGCGGAGUGUCGCCGUUGGCGAAGCCGAUGAGACUCUGAAUGGUGGUCCUCCAUUGAUCGGUCUUGUCUACCGUUGGAGGGUAAUCUAGGAGCAGUUGAGCUCGCGCCAAAGCUUCUGUUGGAGUGGUGGGCGGUAGUGGCGAACGGUGCGAGGAGCGGGAUAUGCUCAGACUUCUAACUAUGUUAGAAGGAGCAGUAUCCCGUCCGGGCGACCAUGUCUCGCUCGUGCCAGCACGUUGGCGUGCGUGCUGGUCUUGAGCGCCCCGAGAUCCACCAGCUCGAUCUUGGUCCAACAAGCGUAUGGUACUACGAAUACCAUGACGCUGUCGGUCCUGCGCCUCCUGAGAUGGGCGCGGUACAUGUACGGACGCCGAGGUCUGCGCAGCCCUGUCUUUGGACCUGGCGGCACCGUGAGCUCCCUCGUCGGCGUCUGUUCCUCCACCGGCGUCCACCCCACCACCCGCUUGCUCUGGGCGCGGUGGAAUCGACGCGGACGGACCAGAUGCCUCCGAAGCCUUCUUCUUCGGUGGCAUGUCGAUGAAGAAGAUGAAGAUCUAGCUCAUGUGGACGCCGGAUUAGGUUCACACAAUCUCGACGCCCCCCUACCUGGCACACUAAAGAUGUCGGGGAAACUGAUCCACGAACACCUAUGGGACCGGCGGACCGAGCCCCUUUCGGUUCAGCGGGGGGCGGAGGUCGCUCGAAGAGCAGAUCGAGGCGAAGCACACGAGCAGUUUACCCAGCUUCGGAGCUCUCCGGAGAGAUAAUACUCCUACUGCUGCUUGUCUGAUUGUAUUGAGUUCUUGCUCGAGAGCGCUGGGUGUUACAGGACACACGAGCUCCUAACGAGACCGAGCGUGAGUGUGUUUCUGGUUUUCGAGCCGAAGCCAACCGACCCCCCCUACGUUGCGCAUGGGCCUCCUUUUAUAUGCUCAAGGGGUCACCGACAGGUGGCAACGCAGACGAGGGUAAAAAUGGAAAAAGAGGGGUGGUUGGUACAGCUACCUGCACAGUGCAUCCUACCUAACCCUGACGGCAGGGGACAAAGGCAUUAAAUGCCCAUCUGCGUCACCCAAAUAGUGUAAAAAGGGACCGUCAGGGGCGCCACCGCUCGCCAUGAUGGCAAUCUUGUCAGCGUCGCAUGCCUCCGCGCACCGCUGGCUGCACAGCCUCUCGCCACGUGCGCCUGGAAAGGCCCCAGGUCGACACGUUGGUGGAUGUGCUGGAGCGUGGGUACAGAGUGGCCGCUUGCCACGGCAAGCGCCUUGCCGCGGUCGUUGCCUUGUCGCGUCCGGAAGCUUGUCGCUCACCGGGCCUUGCCGGGACGCGUGGUGCAUCGCGGCAAGUUCCUUGAGGUGCCUUGGUUGGCCUUCCUGGCAAGCUCCUCUUGCCGGGGCCUUGUCUCCUUGGCUUGAAUACUUUGUUCUUGAAUGGCUCCAAGGGAACCACGGAGGACCGUGGCGGUCACCCGGCAAGCCUUGCCGCGGGGUGCUGCGACUGCCCGUGCACAAGUUCGGGAUACUAGGGUACCCCUACUCUAGUACACCGACAGUACCAUAACCACUUGACUCAACUAGGAGUUAAUCUUCCUAAUGAUAGUGUCAUUGACAGAGUUCUUGAAUCACCGCCACCAAGCUAUAAAGGCUUCGUGAUGAACUAUAAUAUGCAAGGGAUGACGAAAAUGAUUCCCGAGCUCUUCGCAAUGCUAAAGGCUGCGGAGGUAGAAAUCAAGAAGGAGCAUCAAGUGUUGAUGGUCAACAAGACCACUAGUUUCAAGAAAAAAGGGCAAAGUGAAUAAGGGGAACUUCAAGAAGAAUAGCAAGCAAGUUGCUACUCCCGAGAAGAAGCCCAAGUCUGGACCUAAGCCUGAAACUGAGUGCUUCUACUGCAAAGGGACUGGUCAAUGGAAGCGGAACUGCCCCCAAGUAUUUGGCGGAUAAGAAGGAUGGCAAAGUGAAAGGUAUAUUUGAUAUACAUGUUAUUGAUGUGUACCUUACUAAUGCUCGUAGUAGCGCUUGGGUAUUUGAUAUUGGUUUUGUUGCUCAUAUUUGCAACUUGAAACAUGGGCUAUGGAUUAAAUGAAGAUUGGCUAAGGACGAGGUGAUGAUCCGUGUCGGGAAUGGUUCGAAGGUCGAUGUGAUCGCCGUCGGCACGCUACCUCUACAUCUACCUUCGGGAUUAGUUUUAGACCUAAAUAAUUGUUAUUUGGUGCCCGCGUUGAGCAUGAACAUUAUAUUUGGAUCUUGUUUGAUGCGAGACGAUUGUUCAUUUAAAUCAGAGAAUAAUGGUUGUUCUAUUUAUAUGAGUAAUAUCUUUUAUGGUCAUGCACCCUUGAUGAGUGGUCUAUUUUUAUUGAAUCCCGAUCGUGGAGAUACACAUGUUCAUAAUAUUGAAGCCAAAAGAUGCAAAGUUGAUAAUGAUAGUGCAACUUAUUUGUGGCACAACCGUUUAGGUCAUAUUGGUGUAAAGCGCAUGAAGAAACUCCAUGCUAAUAGGCUUUUGGAAUCACUUGAUUAUGAAUCACUUGGUGCUUGCGAACCAUGCCUCGUGGGCAACAUGACUAAAACUCCGUUCUCCAGAACAAUGGAAUGAGCUACUGACUUAUCGGAAAUAAUGCAUACUGAUGUAUGCGGUCCAAUGAGUGUUGAGGCUCGUGGCGGGUAUCGUUAUUUUCUUACCUUCACAGAUGAUUUGAGCAGAUAUGGGUAUAUCUACUUAAUGAAACAUAAGUCUAAAACAUUUGAAAAGUUCAAAGAAUUUCAGAGUGAAGUAGAAAAUCAUCGUAACAAGAUAAUAAAGUUUCUAUGAUCUAAUCAUGGAGGCGAAUAUUUCAGUUACGAGUUUGGUCUUCAUUUGAAACAAUGUGGAAUAGUUUCACAACUCACGCCACCUGGAACACCACAUCGUAAUGGUGUGUCCGAACAUCGUAACCGUACUUUAUUGGGCAUGGUGCAAUCUAUGAUGUCUCUUACUGAUUUACCACUAUCGUUUUGGGGUUAUGCUUUAGAGACGGCUGCAUUCACUUUAAAUAGGGCACCAUAAAAAUCCGUUGAGACGACGCCUUAUGAAUUGUGGUUUGUCAAGAAACCAAAGUUGUCGUUUCUUAAAGUUUGGGGCUGCAAUGCUGAUGUGAAAAAGCUUCAACCUGAUAAGCUCAAACCCAAAUCAGAGAAGUGUGUCUUCAUAGGAUAACCAAAGGAAACUAUUGGGUACGCCUUCUAUCACAGAUCCGAAGGCAAGAUAUUCGUUGCUAAGAAUGGAUCCUUUCUAGAGAAGGAGUUUCUCUCGAAAGAAGUGAGUGGGAGGAAAGUAGAACUUGAUGAGGUAAUUGUACCUUCUCCCGAAUUGGAAAGUAGUUCAUCACAUAAAUCAGUUCCAGUGAUUCCUACACCAAUUAGUGAGGAAGCUAAUGAUGAUGAUCAUGAAACUUCAGAUCAAGUUACUACCAAACCUUGUCGGUAUUCCAGAGUAUGGUCCGCGCCAGAGUGGUAUGGUAAUCCUAUUCUGCAAGUUAUGUUACUAGACCAUUAUGAACCUACGAACUAUGAGGAUAGCGAUGAUGAGCCCAGAUUCCGCGAAAUGGCUUGAGGCCAUGAAAUCUGAGAUGGGAUCCAUGUAUGAGAAUAAAGUGUGGACUUUGAUGGAUUUGCCCGAUGAUCGGCAAGCCAUAGAAAAUAAAUGGAUCUUCAAGAAGAAGACUGGCGCUGACGGUAAUGUUACUAUCUACAAAGCUUGUCUUGUGCGAAAGAUUUUCGACAAGUUCAAGGAGUUGACUGCGAUGAGACUUUCUCACCCGUAGUUAUGCUUAAGUCUGUCCGAAUCAUGUUAGCAAUUGCCACAUUUUAUGAUUAUGAAAUUUGGCAGAUGGAUGUCAAAACUGCAUUCCUGAAUGGAUUUCUGGAAGAAGUGUUGUAUAUGACGCAACCAGAAGGUUUUGUCGAUACAAAGGGUGCUAUCAAAGUGUGCAAGCUCCAGCGAUCCAUUUAUGGACUAGUGCAAGCCUCUCAGAGUUGGAAUAAACGCUUUGAUAUUGUUAUCAAAGCAUAUGGUUUUGUUCAGACUUUUGGAGAAGCCUGUAUUUACAAGAAAGUGAGUGGGAGCUCUGUAGCAUUUGUAAUAUUAUAUGUGGAUGACAUAUUGUUGAUUGGAAAUGAAAUAGAAUUUCUGGAUAGCAUAAAAGGAUACUUGAAUAAGAGUUUUUCAAUCAAAGACCUCGGUGAAGCUACUUACAUAUUUGGCAUCAAGAUCUAUAGAGAUAGAUCAAGACGCUUAAUUGGACUUUCACAAAGCACAUACCUUGAUAAAGUUUUGAAGAAGUUCAAAAUGGACCAGUCAAAGAAAGGGUUCUUUCCCGUGUUACAAGGUGUGAAUUUGAGUCAAACUCAAUGCCCGACCACUGCAGAAGAUAGAGAGAAAAUGAAAGCCAUUCCCUAUGCUUCAGCCAUAGGUUCUAUCAUGUAUGCAAUGAUGUGUACCAGACCUAAUGUGUGCCUUGCUAUAAGUAUAGCAGGGAGGUACCAAAGUAAUCUAGGAGUGGAGCACUGGACAGCGCACUACAAAAAAAAGACACAUCCAUGACAUUUGGGCCGAACGAAAAAAAUUUAUGUCGUACAUAUGACACUUCUAUGUCAAUAAUUGUGACAAAACCCAGUACCAUCAUAGAUGUGGUGGGCUCCUACUUCUAUGACAAAAAAUCAUGACAGAAAAUGGGCUUUUCGUCUUGGGCGGGCCGGAGACGCAGCUGCAUGACAUUCUUUGGGCCGUCCAUGANNNNNNNNNNNNNNNNNNNNNNNNNNNNNNNNNNNNNNNNNNNNNNNNNNNNNNNNNNNNNNNNNNNNNNNNNNNNNNNNNNNNNNNNNNNNNNNNNNNNNNNNNNNNNNNNNNNNNNNNNNNNNNNNNNNNNNNNNNNNNNNNNNNNNNNNNNNNNNNNNNNNNNNNNNNNNNNNNNNNNNNNNNNNNNNNNNNNNNNNNNNNNNNNNNNNNNNNNNNNNNNNNNNNNNNNNNNNNNNNNNNNNNNNNNNNNNNNNNNNNNNNNNNNNNNNNNNNNNNNNNNNNNNNNNNNNNNNNNNNNNNNNNNNNNNNNNNNNNNNNNNNNNNNNNNNNNNNNNNNNNNNNNNNNNNNNNNNNNNNNNNNNNNNNNNNNNNNNNNNNNNNNNNNNNNNNNNNNNNNNNNNNNNNNNNNNNNNNNNNNNNNNNNNNNNNNNNNNNNNNNNNNNNNNNNNNNNNNNNNNNNNNNNNNNNNNNNNNNNNNNNNNNNNNNNNNNNNNNNNNNNNNNNNNNNNNNNNNNNNNNNNNNNNNNNNNNNNNNNNNNNNNNNNNNNNNNNNNNNNNNNNNNNNNNNNNNNNNNNNNNNNNNNNNNNNNNNNNNNNNNNNNNNNNNNNNNNNNNNNNNNNNNNNNNNNNNNNNNNNNNNNNNNNNNNNNNNNNNNNNNNNNNNNNNNNNNNNNNNNNNNNNNNNNNNNNNNNNNNNNNNNNNNNNNNNNNNNNNNNNNNNNNNNNNNNNNNNNNNNNNNNNNNNNNNNNNNNNNNNNNNNNNNNNNNNNUCGACCGUAGGAGGUCCAUUUCGUCCGUUUUGCGGUACGCCACACCCCUCGCGAUCAACUGGACCCCCGUUUCAACCGUAGGAGGUCUGUUUCGUCCGUUUUACGGUACGCCACACCCCUCCCGAUCAACAGGACCCCGUUCCGAACGUCGAAGGUCCGUUUCCUCCGUUGUGCGGUAUGCCAGGCCUAAUUUCCAUCGCAUGUUCCGUCCAAGCCCUCCCGAUGAACACGACCACACAUUCCGUUCCGACCCAGCCGGUUGGCUCCCCAUGAACACGACGAUGAUGAUGUUUCUCUGUUCCGACCCAGCCAUGUACGUAUGUGCGAGUAGGCGUUCGAGACCCUGCCCGUAUGUACGUACGUGGCCGUAUUUUCUUUCUUGCACCCUCGCUGCUGUACGUACGUGUACAUGCUAUGUGUGCGCCUCUACUACGACACGUGCGCUCCUCUACUAUGACAUGUGCGUGCCUCUACAUCGACCAGUAUGUACAUACACGUUCGCGACCAGAAUGACAACGCUACGUACGCUUCGACCAGGUGGGUCCCGACUGUCAGGCGCUUCCUUGCCUGCGAAGAUGUAGCUGGUGGGUCCCAGCAGUCAGGGGGCGAAUCAUUUUGUUUUUUUAUUGCACGGAUGUACUUUCUUGCGUGCAAAGAUAUAGCUGGUGGGUCCCAGCAGUCAGGGGGGCAAAUCAUUUUUUUUGCCCGAACACACUUCCUUGCAUGCGAAGAUGUAGCUGGUGGGUCCCAGCAGUCAGGGGAGUGAAUCCUUUUGUUUUUUUUGCCCGGACGCACUUCCUUGCAUGCAAAGGUGUAGCUGGUAGUUCCCAGCAGUCAGGGGGGAAACAUUUUUUCGUGAAAUAUGGUGGCCCGUCCGGUGGGUCCCCGCUGUCAGGUGGAGGAAUAAUUAUUUUGCGCGUAAUAAGGAGGUACUUCCUUGCUGCGGCCGUGGACCCAGCUGUCAGCCUCUCCACCACGUCUGAUGGAAGCCGUUCCUUGACCACGUUGACCACGCCGCGCCAAGAGCACCAGGGCGGUGGACAACGGCGAGGCCUGGGAAGGGGAUGACGCGGAGCCGGGGAAGACGCGACAGUGGAUGCCCACGCGUAGAGGAGUACGAGGGUUCACUGGUUUGCUGCGGUGUGAGGUUGCCAUCGCCGUAGAAUAACAGGGGGUGUGGGUGAGUGGAGGGAUGGUCUGGCCAGCGGUGGGAGUAGUAGGGGCGGUGAGGCCUCCGCCGCAUCGUAGCCGGCCACGGGAGGCAGGAGCACGAGGCAUGACCGGCGCUGAUUUGGGCGGCUGGAGCAAGAAGACCAGAGGUUGAAGAAGCACUACGGCCGUUGGAUGGACAUCGUACGGUCACUGGAGCUAGAAUCGUGCAUAUUGACUAAGUUGACAAAGCCCUCCGUCCCCGUCAACUUAGUAGGCCAACAAGUCAGCCUGCCACUAUACUGGGUCCCAGCUAACAAGGGGAGUAUUCAUUUUUUUUUGUGUAAUAAGGAGGCACUUCCUUGCGUACGAAGAUAUAGCUGGUGGGUCCGAGCUGUCAGAGCCGGCCGCGGGGAGGAGGGAGCAGGCAGUCCCACCGGCGCUUGUUUGAGCGACUGGAGCAGGAAGAGCAGAUAUUGAAGAAGCACGACGGCCGUUGGAUGGCCAUCCAACAGUCACUGCUUGUGCGUCAACCUUUUUUGUAGGAAAGCCUCAAAUCUGUGGAAAACAACAUACAGCCCAUCUGCCAUUAUUUUUAAAAAUUUACAGCCCAUUUGCUAAUUCUUAAGGCUUUUUUUGGAGCCCAUAUUCUUUUUGUUAGCAUUACAGUCCAUAUUGUGGCCACGGUUAAAAACUUAUACGAAAUUUUCCAUAUUUCGGUGCGGUCCAAACUGUUUUUAAUCCCGAAAUUUCGACUCACAUUCAAACUGAUGUUAAAAAUAAAUGUAUAUCAAUAUAAAAUCCAACAAAUUCUCCACGCAUAAAAUUAAUGUAAUUUAAAAUCUCAAAAUGAAAAAAAGAUACUAAUUGCCGGUUUGAUGUGUUUUAAAAAUGUACAGCCCAUUUCUCAUUACUGAUGGGCCAUUUUCUCGGCCAGCCGAAUGAAAGCUCUCCUCGUCUUGAAAGAUUUGCAGCCCAACAGGCCUGACAAAGCGACUUACUUGGCAAAUCACAAAAAAACUGGGCUGUGGCCGUGGACCCAGCUGUCAGCCUCUCCACAUACAGUACUCUUCCGAUGGAAUGUCGUUGACCACAUUGACCACGCCGCGCCGAGAGCACCAAGGCGGUGGACGAUGGCGAGGCCUAGGAAGGGGACAACGCGGAGCCGGGGAAGACGCGGUAGUGGAUGCCCACGCGGAGAGGAGUACGAGGGUUCACUGGUUCAGCUGCGGUGUGAGGCUGCCGUCGCCGCAGGGCCUGGCUAGCGGCGGGAGUAGUAGGGGGCGAUGAGGCCUCAACGGCAGCAUAGCCGGCCACGGGAGGCAGGAGCAGGCGGUCUCCCCGACGCUGGUUUGGGCGGCUGGUGCAAGAAGAGCAGCGAUUGAAGAAGCAGCAGGACCGUUCGAUUCAAAUCCAACGGUUAUUGCUGCUAGAAUCAUUUGUUGACUAAGUUGACAAGCCCUGCGUACGCGUCAACGUAGUAGGACCAUAGGUCAGCCUCCCAACCGGUGCGCCCCAGAUGUCAGUGGGAGGAAUCAUUUUUUUUCGCGUAAUAAGGAGGCAGUUGAUUGCGUGCGGCCAGGCCAGCAGAGGGAGUAGGGUGGGCCAGGGAAGCCUGCGCGGCAUCACAGCGGGCCACAAGAGGAGGGAGCAGGCAGUCCCGCCGGCGCUAGUUUAGGUGGCUGGAGCAGGAAGAUCAGAGAUUGAAGAAGCACGGCGGCUAGAAUCGUGUGUUCACUGACAAAGCCUUGCGUAAACAAGUCGGCCUCGAAAUAUGUGGCGUGUAUAGCCCAUUUGCUAUUAUUUUUAUAAUUUUUACUCAUUUUCUAAUUCAUAUGGAAUUUAUUGCAGCCCGUUUUCCAUUUUUAGAAUUGCCGACCAUUUUCUGGUCAGUACGAGGGUCAAAAAAUUAACUAAAUAUGUGGGAAAUUUUGAAAAUUCGCAUUUUUUUACUGGGGAAUGAAAUAUUCUUAAUCCAAAAAUUAAUAGCCAUACUAAAACAAAUUUAAAAAUAAAUUAGUACUAUGUCAUGUUAAAUCCAAUGAAAUACGUAUAAGAUAUCAGUGAAGAACAAAAUUCAAAAAAACUAAUAUCCCAUUUGCUAUAAUUUUUUUGGAAUUUUCAACUCCUUUUGAUAUUACUUUUAACAGACAUUGACCAUACUCUUUGGCCAGGACGGAAUGCAUCCCUCCUCGUCUUGAAAGAUUUGCAGCCCAGUAAUUCAGAGAAAACAAAUAGGCCUAGCUUGGGUAUUCUUCAAAAAGAAAUACUGGGCUACCUAUUUUCCCAAAGAAUUGGUGCAUGAGCAUUUAGCUUUAUUUAUUUAUUUACUUAUUUAUGUUUAGGGGACCAUGAGCAUGUACCUGGGCCGGAUUCAUGUGAGAGCCUCCCUUCCAGUUAAUUAUGGGCUUCUCUAUUGGGCCUUCAUCAGUGGGCUACAUGUUAUCAACAAGUGGAAAAUGUGUUCCGUAUGAAAAAUAGUAUGAGCCACGUACGGUACGGGGCACUAAAGGAUCGAGCCGUGCAACGACUUCCAAAACAUUGUGUUUGUCGUUCUAACAACACAUUUAUUCAACCAACAGACAAAAUAUACUACUGAUUAUACAUUGAAAACAGCAGCAGCAGCAACCAGGGCUGGGGGUGCACCAGAAGCAGUAAGCAGGCCAGAAGAGUGAACACACAGCUCUCUCUUCCAAACCAAACAUCAGCCAUCAUUACAAAAGGGCUACCAAAAAAGAACAAGUGUAUGCAUCAAGCUAAAUAAAGAUCCUACUACACCAAGUGUACGCAUCUAACUAACUGGCUCAGUUAGACGUUACUUUUUGUUAAGCUGUGGAGAUUGGCUGAUGGCUUGAACCGGAUGGGUGCCUGACGGGGGAAACUCCAGCCAGCAGGUCGAAGUCUGAUACUUGUGACCCUCUCUCCUACUUUGGGCUACAGAGCGUGGCGGCACAUAUCAGGGUAUGGUGCAUGCAGAGACGCAUGGUACGCUGUGUACACACAGUUUUGCCUGAUGAACGAAACCGCGCUGCCAUCAUGAUCCUUGCUGUCGGUUAUCUCCUGGUUAAUCGAAUAAUUCAGUAUGACAAACAGAGAGCAUGUACCAAGGCUACUUACCAACCUCCAGUCAAAAAUUCCUGAAGGCCCAGAGAAGCUGGGAUCCUGCUCAAAGACCUUGCAGUGACUGUGAUUGUAUUCCGCGAAACAACACGUCCGGUACGUGCGAACGAUCAUCAAUCUUUCGCCAUCGUCUGAUCGAGCCAGGAACUACCUACAACCGCCAUGCCGCUUUUCUUUGAAAGGUUCUGGGAUUAGGAAGGGUAGGGACACAAGGCGGCCUACAACAUCAUAUCAAGUUGGAGUCAAAUAAAAAAGGGCUCUUGAUUUAGUCAAUCUUAAGAACAACAUGUUAUGAGCAUGAAUAUUUUUUUCAGUAAAUGUUGACAGUAAUAUAAGCAAGCCAUCAUGAUAUCAUAGGAAAGUAACAUACUGUUGUAAUAGCCGUUUGUAGCGAUGACUGGAGUAGGCCAGCAAUACGUCCAGCCAUAGAAGGAGUCGAUAGCGUAAAUGAAGCCCUUGUGUUCAAUGGCAUCAGAGAACCAUGGAGGAUGUAUGAUCCUGCGAUGGACGUGCAGAUUUAUCCACUUAUCGUAGUGACCUGUCAGAUAGGCGAGAUCGCGGUUGAAGAACGCAAUUAGCCUGAAAUCUUUAUAAUUCACAGAUCUUGUGGGCACUUGGCAGAUUACAACCUUGAGCGAAUCAAACUUGGUAUCAUGUUGGCUACUGUAAGAUUUCGAGUAUUCUAGGUCGCGGUGCCAAAGCAGUGCAGUGUUAAUCGAAGGAAGGGGGAUCAAUCGCUGGGUGUAGACCUCCACGAGCAUCCAGCUGCCAUGACCGUCGACGAGCACCAUCCAAGACGUGUUCAUGCCGACCUAGUACAUACCAUUAAUGUAGCUGAGGCUGACGGGGAUCGGAUCGCAGUGAAGGGGGUUGAUGCUCGCCACCCUACGAUCGUUAUGCUGCGUGACAUGCCGUUUCUGAAGAUCAGGUGACAUCAGCAAGCAAGGAGCUGGCUUAAAAAGCUCCGGCCUGAGGGCUUUGAGUAUAUAGUACAGCCCCGACGAGCACGCGGCGAGCGGCAUGGUACUGAGAUUGUCCACACGUGAAACAAUGAGCUUGAUUACCUCUGUGGGGAGCGAAUUCCAGCCACUCUUUUGGUUGACGUUGCUCGGUUCUGCCAUUGUUAGUGCUUGGGUUUCGGACGAGGGGGGGAGGCGCCUUAGCGGGGAUGGAAGCUUGGAUGAGAUUAUGUGCGGACAAAGAUGGAGAAGCGAAUAUGUGAUGCGGGAAGUGGACAGGUGAUGAUGACUACAGCACGCCGCUUGACUUACGAGACACAUACCAGCAGCGUAGGGUCAUAUCGAUGCUAGACAACUUGCUUGAGUGAUCACAGUACUAGUACUCCCUACAGUACCUACUACAGUAUUGUGCCCUAGCUUGCUAGAGUAGAGUAGUAGAGUAGGACUCUGCUCUACUACUAGCACCGGAGGAGUAGUAUAUUCUAAUCUAAAAUAGUUACAAACUUCAAUGCCCGAACAUGGAACGACUACGAACCGUGCUCAAAGACCGUGUCUAUGUGGUGUUUGGACUUAUAUGCAAAAAAUAGCAAGAUGCCCGUGCAUUGCACGGCACACCAUCAUCACCAACUCGGUUUUUUCUCUACUCCUACUCCUAUAAAAGACUCAGUUGGUGAUGAUGGAGGCGUGUUCAGCCGGGCGUGCAGCGAACGGCGCAUCACUAUUCGAUUUGUUAUAAAAAAAGUAGUAGAGAUAGAGACAUAGGGAGGAGCACGAGGUUGUGGGAGAUAAGGAUGAACAAGGCAAGGCCUUAUCUGUAGAUGUGGAGAGAGGUGCGGGUAUCUUUUGUAAAAUUGUCAUAGUUGGCUUUCUAUCCAUCAGAUAUAGAUCAGAUGGUCUAUAUUACAAGAUGGCAGGCAUACCAUCAUCACCAACUCGGUUUUCUAUAAGAGUAGAUAUAUAUAGAUAUAGAUAUAUAGAGACUAGGGAGCACUAGUAAGGACACCAUCUACUGCUUCGUGUGCUACUCCUGCGCUCGGCGGCCGCAACGUCCCCUACAGCCACUCCCUCAUGCGCUCCAUUCGGUGGGCGCUGUUGAAAUCUGGGGAGCGCAUUCUCGCGACUGCUGGCAGCCAAGACUUCACCGACGACGACUUCUUCCCCGACCUUGGCAACCUCUUCCUCAACGACAUGGGCGACAACUUCAACGCCAACGGUGCUGCUCCCGUUGCACCGUAUGUGUUUCUGUCCUUCCUGUUCGAAAUCGUGGUAGAAUUCAUGUUUCUACUUUGUAUCCUACUACUAUGCUAGUCCACAUGAUUAGUUUCAUCUCUGUUAUAGCCGUCAUGAUUUAUUUUGUGCUUAUUCGGAUUAAAUCUCGUAGUAACUUGCUCAUAUAUUCAACUGGCGCAACGUCCUCUACAGCCACUCCCAUUUCAUGUACGGCUUGGUUGAUGCCUCCAAGGAGCCCUUCGUCCACUGCUAUGAGUGCCCGAUGCCGUUUUGUGGCUCGCCGGCGGACAUGGUGCAUCACCUCACGGAUGCGUGCAGUGGUCACUGCCGGCCCUUGGCGGAGAACAUCAAGUACGAGACGUGCUACCGGUUCACCAUGCCGGAGUCGCUGGAGGAUCAUCGCCGCCAUCUAGUCCCGGAGGAGGACGACAACAUCUUCCUCUUGAUCAUGGGCACCGGCGAGGCCCGCGCAGGCCGCCGCCCCAUCUCUGUAAUGUGCAUCAGGGGCAUCGCCGCUGACGCUGACACUGACACGAGGCAGAUGUACGGGUGCGUGGUCAAUGUUACUACCCCUCCGGGUUGCGUGGGCGGCGACACCGGCCUCAUCGGACAGACUUGGACUCUGGGGAGCUGGGACUAUCCCGCCAAUGUGGACUUGGAAAACCCAUGGCAUCCGUUCCAUCCUUUACCCACCGACUCCGUGCACGGGGACUCCAAGGAGGUUCACCUGGACAUACGCAUUAUCAAGUGCACUUAGAAAACAUGUAGUGUGUGUGUGGGCUCUUACGGCCCGUGUCUUUGCCGCUUUUGAUUCUAUAAGCUUGUCGUUAAACUUGAGUGGCUUUCGCCGCAGUCCUUCCUUUGAACUGCUCCUCUCAGUGAGCUGAUGUAAGACACUUUGGGUUUCAUUUGAUAAUGGAACCGGGGAGGAGCCUCCCUGUACUUCUAAAAAAAUACGCAUUAUCAAGUUAAAUAUUGAUCAUUAGUCUUCGCUCAAUGUAAUCUGCUGUCUAAGCAUGUGGAGACUUCCAUGCAUGAUCUUGCUCUAUUGGAGUAUCGUGCAUGAAUAAAAGUAUAUCCGUUUAUGGUUUAGUCUAGAAUCUUCCAUGUAUGAAUUUUUAGUACAGUACUGGUGAAAGACUUAUGAUGAACCAUUUCUUACAUCUCCUCUGCCCCCUUGCAAGUCAUCCUGAUUUAAUCCCUCCAUCUAGGUGUAUAAGGGCAUGGUUAAUAUUACUUAAUAGUAUAGCCAACUGCUGACUAUAAGAAAGUGCCAUGUCAUCUGUAGCCAACAUGUAUAAGAAUCGAUACUCAAAAACUAAUUCUUAAAGAUCAUUUCUUGCAAAGCACAAUAAGUGUUAUUUCUUCACAAGUUUUGGAUGCAGGUUGAACAGUUGAACGCUUUUGUUUGCAAAAGAUACCUUUUUAUCUAUUCUGCCUGGAUGUUUGUGAGCUCUAGAGAUGAGAUAAUAUGCGAAGAAACCUAUCGAUACCCGUUACACAUGAGAUGACCCCAUAUCCUUUGUCAAAAUAAACAACUCCCCGAUCAAUGCAUCUCACGCUUCAGUGCAAUGCACGGGCACCUUACUACUAUAGAUUAGUACGACCAAAAAUUGAACUAACAUUAUAUAUAGUACGAUAAAUACUGAUGCAUGUCACCUAAAAUUAUAUCAUUCAAAACUAUGUUCAAAUACGAAUCCAACGAUACAGUUUUUGUUGACAUGCACUAACAUUUUGUCAGUUAAAUCUUGAGUCAAAUUCAAUGGGGGCCUAAUAAACCACGAUCGAUGUAGUACAAGUGUAGAGGGCGGCGCUGCACAGGAGUCUCACCUCUCAUCCCGCUCGUGGCGCGGCAGUAAAGCCAUCAUAUCACAAAACCCAACCACUCCCAGUAAUAAAUGGCCUGGUAAAAUACAAGGACAGGCAACCAUCACAUCCCUCCGUCUUUUUUGCAUUUCAUCUCUUUGCAUUUACUUUCUCCGGUUCAUCUCCCACACUCGAUCCCUAGCUACUACUCCUAGGGCCAGUUCUUUUGGCGGCUUCCCCAACUUUUCCCACAAGACUAGUCAUAGUGGAGAGUAACAAUAAGGCGCCUCACUCAUUUAUUUGGGCUUCUAAACUACUACUCCGUCAUGGUUUAUUCCUCACCAUUGUAAUUUGUGCUAAAUUUUGACCAAAGAUUUAACUGAUAAAAUGUUACUCAAAAUACUUAGGCGCGGUGCAUCUAGGUGUGUAAGUCAUCUUACGAAAACCAAAUAAUCCCAAAACACUUAGGCGCGGUGCAUUAACUUCUACCUCGUUUCUUGUUUCUUGACAUAUCAACCAAUAAGAGAUAAAGAGUGUGCAUGCUUUUAAUGACUUGAGAUAUCAAACACGACAUGCAGUGGUUAGUUCAUUGCAUGCAAUACUAUUAAUUAGCAAAUAAACAUUAACAUUUCUCAUUUUCUAAUCCUGCUUGGUCACGGUGCACAGCCUAAGAUGACUUACUCACCUAGACGGAUGGAGUAGUGCAUGUGACAUGCACUAACAUUUCAUUAGUUAAAUUUAUGAUCAAAAUUUGACACAGAUUACAAUGGGGACCAAUAAACCAGGACAAAGGUAGUAGUUAUGGGAUUACUAAUCUAGAAGCCUAAAAGAACUGUCCCCUGGUACUCCUACUAGUAGUAGUACUCAAGUUGGAAUUCCAAUUGCAUGCACAACUUGUUAGGCAAAAAAUUUGAUACAGGGUGUUGGAAGCGGUUUGGGAAUUUGCAUGCCUUUCCAACCAGUGAGAUACUCCCUACAAAGUACGACAGAGAAAUAACCACAGAGAAGGAAGCUAAAAGUAAACAAUCAAACGAGCAUUUUUGCAUUUGUUUUGCAUUGAAUCGUUUCACAAGCUUGACUAGUGCUGUUUUUCUACUUUUACAAAAACCGCAUCGUAAUGUUAAAACGUGCAUUUGCACGUACAUAAGUAAUAGUAGUACUCCCUCCAUCUAGGUGUACAAGUCUUCCCUCCUUCUUGGUCACCGUGCACAACCAAAGAUGACUUAUUGACCUGGACGGAGGGAGUAGCACAGUCUGCAAGCAUAUAUCGAGAGAGACGUGUAGUCCAAUAGUAUAUAGUAAAGUUUGUGCUAUAUGCAUGUACUUGCAAAAUGCGUAAUAAUACACAACAUUUCCAAACUUUCCCUUUUACAUACUUAAUUAAGGACGCUAAAAAUUCCUGAACAUUCGGGAUUUAUCAUUUGCGUCCCAAAACUAAUGAGAUUGCCUUACUAAACAAAAAUUAUACUCCUAAAAGCCACGGUGCUCGUAGGAGCACUUGCGGCGCGCCACGAGUGCCCUGGUGCGCGGCCGUUUCCCAGCACGCCGACACAAUGCCUCUUCCUCAGCCUCGCAACUCGCGAGGUGCUGAUUGGCGGCUUGCCGGCGGACGAGCGUGAUCUCACCGGUGUGGUGAUCCGGCGCCAACAGGUACUCCUCCUGGCUAGAAGCGUGCACCCGGUCCACGUACCGCCAAGCGUAGAUGAGGUGCUUGGGCCCGACUGCACUCAGGGCAUCGGCACGGGCGUCCUCCGCCACCCUCACGGCCCUCGCACGAGCCUUCUGCCAAAGAACCAAUUGCUUGACUCUCUCGGACGCGACUCUUCCUCGGCCUUCUUCUCCGCCUCUAUUUUGGCAUGCUCUGCUGGAGGCAAAGCCUCCCACAAGGCGACAUCCAUUUCUUUCCAAAGCUCCUCAAGGCUGGGGGGCUCGGCGGGCGGCGCAGCGUUCUCCUCGUAGCAGGGAGCCAACACGUCCUCCGACACUCGUGCUGGCGAGAUUGGGAACGCUAACGCGUCCACCUCGACGCGUCGCGGCGAGGAGCGGAACACCGAUGCGUCCUCCUCGACUAGUGGCGGCGACGAACGGAACGGUGAUGCAUCACGUCGCGGCGAGGAGCGAAACACUGACGCGUCCUCUUCGAGUAGUGGCGGCGAGGAACGGAACAGCCACGCGUCGCGUAGCGGCGAGGAGCGGAACACCGACGCGUCCUACUCGACUAGUGGCGGCGAGGAACAGAAUGGCGACGCGUGACUGUCCGCGCGGUGCAGCGAGGGGCUCCUAGGUCUUGGGAGGGGCGAUGCCAUGGUGGUCGACGUGAGAGGGAGGGGGAGGAGAUAGCAAUGAACGUGAACGUGAGGGGGAGGAGAUAGCGAUGUCGUGGGAGGCGCAGUAUUUAUAGCGAGCAAUGGCACACCUAUGUAAGAUAUGGACUGAGCUGCACUGACUUAACUGGAGGUCCAGUUGCGUCACUAACAUGUGGGCCAGUACACUGCUGGGCCCGUAUGUCAGUGACCAAAUUCACCUAAAGUUAAGUAAAAGCUACAUGGGCAUAUUUGUUGGAGUAAAUUACGGGGGAGCGAAGGGGUGGAAAUAUUGCUGGUCACAACGGAUUGGACGAGCGUGGGGGGAGGAGAGUCAUGCAUGCAGAUUUUUCACACGGGGUGGAGUGGUGGGACCGCUGGAGGGAGAAGGAGAGUUUGGCAGGCAUAUUGUUUCCACACAUGGAGAGGAAAAGAUUUGGAGACAAACGGGCUUCCUGCAGGUAUGGGGAACGGUGCAUAAUAAGUCAUCUUGCAUGCCGGGCUAGGCAUAGUCUCAAGUCAUUAAAAACAUACACGCCCCACACAUGUUCAUAUUUCAAGGUGCACUAAAUUAUUGCAUGCGAUGAUUAAGGCUGUCCAUAAUGGUGGUAUCUUAGCUGGUAUCAUGCACACGGGAAUAGCAAACAUGCUGAUGUGGCAAAGAAUUAAAGAAGAGAGGGGGGUUAGAGUAACUAGUGUUUAUGCAUGCAUUGGUAAACACAUUUUUUUGUGAAGAACGGCAACAUUAGUUGAGUACUUUUGCAAACUUCAAAAACUAUUCUACCGCCUCUACUAUCUUGCUAAGAGUAGGUGAAAUUUUGAGUCGAGCCCUUUAAACUAGAAGGGAGGUAGUGGUACUCUAAUAGCUAGGUGUGUAAGUCAUCUUACGAAAACCAAAUAAUCCCAAAACACGUAGGCGCGGUGCAUUAACUUCUACCUCGUUUCUUGUUUCAUGACAUAUCAACCAAUAAGAGAUGAGGGUGUGCAUGCUUUUAAUGACCUAAGACUAUCAAACAUGACAUGCAGUGGUUAGUUCAUUGCAUGCACUACUAUUUAAUUAGCAAAUAAACAUUAAUGUCUCUCGUUUUUCCCUCCUCCUUGGUCACAGUGCACAGCCUAAGAUGACUUACUCACUUAGACGGAGGGAGUAUCAACAUUCACAAUGUCAAAUCAAUAUUUUUACACUCAUUAUAAAACAUAGUUCUUAUACUCAUUAUAAUCAAUAUUGUAGAUAUUGAUAUUUUUAGUAUAAAUUUGGUCGUGGGAUUUCAGUGAUGCCUGUCAAAGCAUGGAGGAAGCGGAGCUUAGGGCUUGCAUUACCGGUCUCUACAUAGGUAUUUAUCUCAUAAUCCUGUAAUUUUAGAGACUGGUUGCGCUUUUGUGGUAGCAUCUCUUGCAUCAGGGGACUAUAACAGAUCUGCUAUGCAUGACCUGAAGAUGAAAGCGUUGAGCAUCUCGAAGUUGAUCAACAAUCUUCAAUUGUCAAAGAUUAUCCGUUCGGCCAAUAAGGUGGCACACUUAAUUGCUAAGUAUAGAUUUGACAAUAGAUUAGAUGGUAUUCUUGUAAAGAACGUACCGCCCUGUGUGGUGAAUAUUGUAUCGAAUGAGUGUACUAGUGUGGCUGGUUAAUUAAUAUAAGGUGGUGUUAAAAAAGUAUAUAUUUGGUCAAACACUUUGCAAACGGUUGACGGGAUUAAAAAGGACCAGAGGGAGUAUCAUGCAUGCAGAGUAGGCAAAAAAAAUUGCUCAUUUAUAGCCGGUCGAAGUCUCAAAGGGCGCGACCGUGCGAGGGAGGCGAAGGUCGUGGGAGGAGCGGCGGUUGACGGAAUUAAGUGAAGUUACAUCCACGCGCCGGCAUGGCGUGCGAACAGGCAGAAGCCAUACCAUGAGGCCUACGAUAUGGGUCUAGUAGACAUGACAUCUAGUGGGUCGUACAUACUUCUCGAGAACUCUUUGGGGGCUUGCAGCCGUUUAUCCACCGGGUAAGCCAGCAAUCCCAUGCCGUUCGCAUGCCCUACUCGUCCCCAUCUUCUACCUCACAACAGUUCGCUCCCAGUCGUCCCGUCCUUUCACAUUAGUUCGCUCCCAGUUUUUGCGGGGUACAACAGUUCAACUUCUCCUAACCCUCCUCCAAAAUCCAUGGCCUCCCAAUCUCCAUGGUCGCCGCUGAGUACCAGGUUAGAGCCAUCACCAGCGAUUAGUUCAUCGUCAUCUACACACGUGGAUCCGCGACUGUGAAAGCAUGGCUUGCUCGCUUCCUACGCAUGUUCAACAGUUCAACGGAUGAGUGGGUCGCUGGGCUAGAUGUUGAGUACACCACAGUCCUGGGACGAGAGAAGGAUCUAAAGGACAAAGAGAGGAAGAAGCCCGUCGUGAUCCAGGUUUGCAUACAUAACGUUUGCUUGGUCUACCACAUAUGCCAUGCCGACGUUGAGUGCCAGGAUUUUAAGAACUUCCUCAAGGACAAAAGAGUGAAAUUCGUUACUAUAGGCUUUAAGAAUGACAGGGAUGUCCUGCGUCGGAUAGGUCUCGUUGUAGGCCAGCCCUUCGAUCUCCAGAAGGCAAGCCUGGUGUCCUCCUCUCAACCUUCAAUGCUGACCCUGGCAGCAGCCAUGAUUGAUCCUUCGUACGCUAAACUGAAGAAACCUCAUCACGAGGUUCAUCAUGCAUGGGAGUCGAAGACAUUAGAUGAAGAUCACAUCCUGUACGCAGCAAUGGAUGCCUACCUUUGUUUAAAUAUCUACAUGGGUUGGAUGAAGAAGCAGAGCCCAGUGUCCGGUUCAAGCAAAGAAGCGUCGGCGAAGAGGAAGAGGAAGAGGGACAAGGACGAAGUCGAGGACGUGGACUCGGACUCCGAGUAGGUGACAGUGCCGUCGCUCAUGCUGGUUCUACUGCAGUGUCAAGCGGACUAGUUGCUUAGUUUAUUUUCAAGGGUGUGUUGUGCUGCGGCCCUAGCAGAACUAUGUUUAUGUUCUUUCUCGUUAUUAGAACUCUUUAGUACGUAGAGUAGUACUAGUACUAUGUCUUACUACUGUUCUUCUUGCAGUUGGUACUACUGCUCGUACCUUCGUGUUCCUACUAUACUUAAUACGUUCGUACUAGUAGUAUAAUUUGGGUCAGUCGAUUUGUGAAAGAAGUUCGACGGAGCGAAGGAAGAAGACGGCAGAAGAGGUGGAAGAAGCCCUUCUAGCCAUCCAUGUUGCAUCAAACGGCUCACAUGAGUCGACUGACCCAAAUUGCUCCUUCAGAUUGCAGGAUCCACAUGGCAUUCAAGGUCUCGAAGGUAGAUUCCGCAUCCCCACCCGGUUUGCGGGCUCGACGCGCGCGCGACCGGCUUCCGCCGUGACAGCCACCAUGCGCGCCUCCUCCGCGCGGGCGGAGAUGACAAUGACACGCUAGUUCCUCCUUGCCGGCAUGCUGAAGCACGCGCUUGUCCUCCUCUUCAUACGCUGCGUGCAUAGACACGGCUCCACCAGCUGCUCGCGUGCUUGGCAGCGCGGCGGCAUGGCGAGGAGGGACUGCAGACAACAUGAGCGGGCGAGCCUUCGGCUUCAUGGCACAGGGAUGGCGGCGACACGGCGGUGAUGGGCGAGAAAUUGUUGGCCGGAGCAGGCGGGUGCCAGCAUGUGCAAUGGCGGCGACGGCAUAUUGAUGAGUGCGCGUAUGGGAGCUUACUUUAGUUUUACUAGCAAACAAGCCCGUGCGUUGCAACGGGAGCGAAAAAAUCACAUCUCAUACACACUCUCGAGACAUCAGUAAAUCUCUUGAAAUCGUGAACGAUGUCACAUGAAAAACAAAAUGAUAAGUGAUGUUGCGCAAAAACAUAAAGACGUGAUGAUUUUUAAAGUGUAUUCAAGGUGUUUCCAAUUUAGACAAUAUAAAUAUCUAUCUAGCUGCAAGUACCUCUUUACGCAUUUGUUGUCGUUCCUUCUCGGUGGUGCCCAACAAAUAUUUGCAUUACAAUGAAAAUAACAUUUGCAAAAGAGCAUUAUUUUUGCCUCCUUGAUAUAUGUGUUUUUUGUAAUCCAAGUCAAGUAUUAAUUUGGUCGCAAACAUGUUAGACAACUCCAUCGAAAACAAUCAAUUUGUAAGGGCAUGCAUACCAAAUGUUCAAGGUUGCAUAUCAACAACGAUAUUCUCAAGAAAAAAUUUAUGGAAACAAUUUAAAACAAUAUGAAAAUUAAAGUCAAGCCAUUGGUUUACGUAAAGCUUGUAUCAGGAACAUUGUACAUUUUUUCUACAUCAGAAACAUUUUUAUAUACACGCUUAAUACUUUCCAAUUUAAUGGUUAACAUUUUCCAAAACCUAUUUAUUUUUAUGUCUACUUAUUUUAUACACAUUCUACUUUUUUGUAUAUAUCAAGAACAUUUUUUACAUACACGUUUAACAACAUGAUACAUGAUAAUAUUUUUGAAAACUUAUAAUUUUUAUGUCUACUUUGUUCCAUACACAUUGUAUAUGUUUUUGUAUACAUUUUUUUAUACAUACAUCAGAAACAUUUUUUCCAUGCACAUUUAAUUUUUUUAAUGCACGAUUAACAUUUACUAAACAAUGAAAAAUAUAUUAUUAUUUUUCUAUACACACUGUACUUGUUUGUAUAUAAUGAAAACAUUUUUUCUAUACAAGCUUCACAUUUGUUUAAUGCAUGAUUAACAUUCUUUCAAAGUCCGCAUAUAAGUGAUUUUUAUAAUUAAAAUAUUUAUAGUAUUUAAAAAUAAAGCCAAAAGAAGAAAAUACAAAGCAAAUGUAAUAGUAGUGUAAAAAAAGAAAAAAUAAGUGUUGUAGGCCGCGUUGGGCUGGCCCAAUCAGGCAUCUUAUCUCAUAGAGAAAAGGGGAGCAAAAAGUGGAGAUUCUGGGGUCGAACCUGGGUCUCCCAGGUGGGAGCGCGAGGGUCUAGCCAGUCGGUCUAGCCAUGCAACAGUGAUUUGCUGGUGGGUUGGCUCCUUAUUGUAUCGAAACGAACGGCCGACUUAAAGAAAAGAAAAAAUGAAUCGUUUUUCCAACUUACCGGUGGCAUAGGUGGGUAAUUCAUGCGAACUUCAGGGGCAAAUUGUGCGACGGACGACAGAAACCCAAUUUUCUUUAUUAUUAGGUAAAGAUAUUAGGUUGGUCAAACUUAAAAGAAAACCGUACUAGUACACGUAAACAUUAGACUUAGGCAACGCUUUUAUUAAUCUUUUUGAAGUUAGUACCACAGCCACGAUACGGAAUCCUGUGCAAGCGCGUGAACCGCGGCCGCGCGGUCGAUCGAACGGUGCGUCACCGUGUCGCGCUCGAAGGACAUCCACCGAACCUUUUUGUGUGUGUGAAAACAAUCCUCGAAUAUUACUCAACUUUUUUUUCCUGGGAAAGUUCUUGACGCUGCAAUAUUUCCAUAUAUUUGAAUUUAGCUCCAGUUUGUGUUUAUUUGGAUUUGGACGUUUUAGGUGCGCCCUAGUUUUUUUAAUACUUAUUUUGUGUGUGUGACUGAGAGAGAACGUGUGUAUGUGUCCAUAUGUGUGUUGUGGCGGAAGGGCAAUGUGGAGACGGUGUGCGUGUGAUAUAGACAUAGAGAGGUGUGAAUGUGCAAAUGAUCUUACAUGAGUGAGACAUAGACAGAUGCCGAUACGUUGUGUAUACAUGAGAGAACGGUUUUCUAGUUUACUUGUGUGUGUGUGUGUGUGUGAGAGAGAGAGAGAGAGAGAGAGACAUAGAGACAAAGAGAGAGGAGCAUCCGUAACACAACAACCAUCUCUCUCGAUUCGUCCAUCCCUCGCACGAUCGCAUGCAACAUAUGCAUCAACGCGCACAUUUUGACACCCUCACUCGGCCCCUGCCCACCUCAAGGCCCGCACAAUCUCUUCGUGAAUACCCAUUUCUCUCCUUAGGUUUGUUUUCGCUCAAUAUCUCUCUCUCUCUCACACACACACACACACACACGCAGCACAACACUCCCCCAAGCACACAAUUCAUCCCCAUCGAAGGUUAUACGGCGACCACUCUCGCUUGUGCUUAUUUGCACCCCAACAUGCACAACACCUCAAUCUUCAAAGAGGGCAUCGAGCAGAUCGAAGACGGCGACCACACCGCACUAGAGAAUGCGGGGUCAUUUGGAAGCAGGGUGAUGUGACGACGGCUGACUGACUCCUCCCCCCACCCUCUCUCUCUCUCUCUCUCUCUCUCUCUCUCUCUCUCUUGCAUGAAAUUACCAAUCCCUCUCUCCCCACACAAAAUUGUCAAUCCCUCAACCCAUGAGAUCCUUCCCCUAUCAUCCAUGUUUUUCCAGCUCUCUCAUCAAACAUGUUGUCUCUUCUCUUUCCACGUAUACAGAAUCCGGAUGCACAUGCAUCUCACGUAUAUUACAUGUCUCCAUCUUUCUCACAGACCUAACUUCUUCCUCUCUCUUUCUCUUUCUCUCUCUCUCUCUCUGUCUCGUUAGGUUUGUCUCCUACUCUCUCAUCCACAUACAUACAAUAUUUCCCGCCCUAUCUACUCCAUCUUCAAAAGCUCUCUCUGCAUGUUUCAUUCACACAAUGGGAUAUGUCAAAAUGUUGCUUCUAUAAUGGCUGAUGUAGAGUUUUGAUUGUUUUUGUUGCAUCCUACAAAGUAAUAACUAUGAAAUGCAUUUAGAUUCUCAUUUGACUGGGAUUAUGUGAGUUUGAGCAUGUUGUGAAGUACUAUAGACCUUGUAUACAUCUUGGGAUUCGACAAUGAUUGUAACUAUUGAAUUGUAUAGUCCAUUACAUUCAAAGUCAAUAGCCUAAUAUAUUUAUUUCCAAUUUCAACAAAUGAUUAGUUCAAUACAGACUAAGAAAACAAAUGUGUACUCCCUCUAUUUUUAUUAAAGUCCGCUUAUUAGCAUUGGUCAAAGUCAAGUUUUGUAAACUCUCAGAAAGCUUAUAACAAAAAAUAAUAACAUAUACAAUAACAAAUAAAUAUCAUUAGAUUCAUUAUUGAAUGUACUUCCACAUCAUACAUAUUUGUUAUGGUAAAUGUUUAUAUUUUUAUAUAAACUUGGUCAAAAUUUAGGAAGUUUGACUUUGGUCAAACCUAAUAUGCAGAGUUUACUACUACUACUCGCUAGUUGCUUAGCCGAAUCACUCAACACGCCACACGGGGAGUCCAGUGUCACAAAAUUUUGAGGUCGGCGGAAAAAUCUCCCGCGACCCUGAUUCGAGCAGUGGGAAGUUACCAUCAUAGCCUUUGGAACAGGCCUACAGACGAUGCUUGGUAGGGGGCUGUUUUCGUAACUUCAGGUUCACCCUACCUAGCCAGCCCCACCCCGGCACCCAGAGUAGUACACCUGAAUACUCCCCAUUUUCUAUCCCCACCGCAAAGUAGACUUCUCCAUGGCACCGUAGCCUUCGUGCUCCUCCCCUUUACAUCGGCGCACUCGUCCACUGCAGUGCAUCUGCCUCAUCGACGACCUCGUACGCCGCACUGGAGCCAGUCCACCGCUGUCAUCGUAGACGGAGCCUCUUCCCCGGCAUCGUCUUCCACGGCCUCGGAUCUGCUUCCCGGAAGCCGACGCCAAGCGCAGAAGUACCACCGUCGUGGACAAUGAACUGACUCCCGUUGCCGACCAUGACUCACAGAAGCCGCCGCGACCAUCGUUCUCCUCCUCGAUUGGUAAUGUGUGUAUUGAAUCACUUAGCAGUACAUGUGCAGUUCCAAUUUUGUUCAUACCCAUCCUUAAAUUUUCCUGGGUGCUAUUGUUCCCGUAAAAGUAAUUGGUUAUAGCCUCCAUUGUCCAACAGAAUAUCAGCUUGUAAUUGUGCGUCGCUCCUGUAUCGCGUUGUGCUUGGGUAGGUUUUUCAUCUGCAACCAGCAGUGUGGCAAAUGAUGGAAAGAUUUUUAGAACUAGCAAGAUGCCCAUGCAUUGCACGCAUCAAGAUGCAUUUGUAUGAGUAGUUUAUCUUGUGGGAGAAAAGGAUGAACGAGGGAAAGCCUUAUUUGCAAAUCUGGAGAGGGGUAUGGGUAUCUUUUUGCAAAAUUCUCAUUUGUUUCCUUCCUAUCUGUCAGAUAUAAAUCGGACGACCUAUAUUGCAAGAAAAAAAGUAUAGAGAAAAAAAGUAGAUAGUAAAGGAAGUAGAGAUAAAUAUUAAAUAUUAAAUAUUAAAUAAAUAUAACCGUAGAGAAGAGAGUAGAGAUAGGAGAGACGUCGGAAAGGAUCGCGCGCGCGCGGGAAAAAGUGGCCGGGCGUGCACUAGUUUUGGCGCGCGGCGUCCGGCGUGCUUUAUAAAAUCCAACGCCCUCCCACCGCUCUGUGCCUUGCCACCGCUCUGUGCCUUGCCACCACUCUCUCCCCGCUCUUUUUAGCCUCGCCGCCAUCGUGCAACCAUGCCGCCGUGUCGCCGAGAAACUUGGGUAUACCGCGGCGUCCACGCACGCCCGUCCGGCGGCUUCUCCGCUGAGAUCCGGUUCCGCGGGAUGCGCCUCGGCCUCGGCAAUUUUGACACCGCCAACGAGGCCGCUCGCGCGUACGACGCGGCGGCGUGGCGCCUCCGGUGGCCUCAUAGAACAUUGAACUUCCCCAACGUGCCAACGUGGGAGCGGGCGCAGGAGCUCGCGCCUCCGCCGCAGCUUAGCACCGACGAGGAUCGUCGCGACAACCGGAGGCGGGAGCACCACCUCGGCAUCGCCAAUAUGGACGAGGAAGCCAUUGUGCUGUAGCACCAACACUUCCUGCAGGACAUCAUCAACGAGCGUGAGUUCUACGCACAAAGGAGGGCGAAGAGGGAUAAAAGGAGGGCGGAGCGAGCCGCCUAUCGCGAGGACAAGCGUAGGCUAAAAGCGGACGCUCAAUUCAACAUGAGGCUAGGAGCCGCGUCGCCCUGGAAUCCGACAACGAUCGUUAUCUUCACGCCUGUAGUCAGAUGUCGGAGGAGGACAUCACCGAGGAGGAGUCGGACAACGAGGAGUAGUUGAAUUAUCUUUUCUUUAUCUAUCUAUGCUGAGAACUAUCCUCUACUCUCUAGUAUCUACUUCUCGAUCUCAGCACUGUAAACGCUUUUUAAAGCGCCGCAUGUUGCGAUUCUGUUGGAGAUGCUCUAACAUGGCAGACGAGUGCUUUAAUGUUGCCCACAAGAUGCGCGAGUAUUACUAGUAGUAUUUUUCUUGCCAUGUUGAGAUUUUAAAACCACGAGUGUGAACAUGUAGAGGAGCAAUGAAGACCAAACACGGAAUAUUCGGUACAUCUUCAAGGAGCGUGGCAAGUUAAAGAGGAGCUGCACCGAACCUGUAAAACGAGCUUUGGUAUGU